GUGUCAGCCGAGAAGUGGGGAUUGUCGCAUUCUGUAAAUUCAAUAAGUAUCAAAAAAAAAGUAAUAUGAUUUGCCAUCCUGGUACUCCAUUGUGCAGCCAGCUGCUUCCCAAUGUGUACUGUCAUCAAGCCAGUCUAUGAAAUGGAGAGGAUUGCUUAAUAACAAUGCAUAAAAAACCAAGUAUUUUUAUAUGUUACAAUAUGUGUACGAUAUUUAUAUCUCAAAUAAGUUCAAUAUUAAAUUCCUCUUUUUGUCCGAUCGUGGGUGUCUAGAUCUUUGUAUGUGGCAAAAGCUCCUUUUUUCAUCAUUUUCGCACUGCAUGCAGAAUGUAAAUCUUGUGAAACAAUGGCCGUCUUACUAAAAUGUUUAACAAAAUAUAUUGCAGCAUUUAUCUUCUCCCUAUUGAUCGUCUUCUCAGCACCCGAUGGGUCAACUUGUUAGUCUCGUUGUUUGGCAUGAUUUGCUAUUCCUACCUUCCUUGUACAUCAACGCUCUCCUUCUCUUUCUGUUUGACUUAGCAGACUCACCCUUAAGGAUGUGGAGUAUUGAUCUGUUGUCUGAUCUUUCAUGGAGUGCACUCAAUUCCAGGCCGAUAGACUCCUGUUAGAUUCCACAUGACCAAACCAACUAACAGAAAGGGAUCAGAUGGUGUUCCAAAAAAUAUUCUGACCUUCAAGGUUCGGUAAUAGUAAAUAUAUUCGUAUUGAAUCCAACAGUAUUUGCUGACCUCUGCACCAGAUUUUUUUAAGCCCCGCAAGACAUAUUUACAAAAAAAUUUUUUACAAUGGUGCUACUCUUUUAUUGAGCCACAGUCCAAUAGCUGUAGUAAAGCUUCCAGGCUUUCACUUGCACAUACAUUGUUCCAAACAGGUGACACAACAGUCCCGACAGAAAACAGAUCCCACUCAAUUGCAUUCAGAGUGUGUAGGCCUUCCGAAUUAUUUGAAGAGCACUUGACUGCUUUGAAAUAUUGAUGUAAUAAAGGAUCCAGUGGAGUAAUUAUAACUCCCGCAGGAAACACUUUAUAUGGAUUUCUAAUGCACAUAAUGUAAUAUUUCAGUGUUUGAUGAUUCAUCUAAUUUGUGUUAACUGCUGUACUGCCUUUUGCGUUAUGCUCAGCUAGUUCUUAAUACGUUAAGGGGGCGUAACCCUUUCGAAAUGGUAAGCACCCGUCAUCUGGGCACCACUUGCUUUUUAAUGGCUCUUAUCGUUCACAGAACAGUCCUAUAAAUGUAAUAUUUUUUGUUAAAAUAUGCUUACAAAUCAUAAACCCAUUUUUUGCUGGCCAGCGCCUGAAUCAUCAUGCUCACAAUGACAAUGUUAUUAUACCGGUAAAAUGCGGGUUUGGUGGGGCGGCGGUAGCUCAGUAGUGUGGAGGAGACUUUGACCCUGAGGGUUCAGAUUUUGUUUGAAGAGGUGUCCUUUGGAAAAGCAACAAUUCCAUAUAGCUGAUCUAAGGCCGUUGCUCCCAAUGGAAGUGUGGGUGAAAUGGGUUGAAAUUACCAUUGUGCUGCUUGGAAAUUACUGUACACUUACAUAAACAUAACGUUUUACCAUUUUAGUCAACAUUGUUUAGCUAGCUAAACCAAACACAAACCCACACUGGUAUGCACGUAUUUAAAAGAGAGACCUCAGUAUUGGCUAUUGAUGAAGUGUUUUUCGUGAAGAGAGCAAAGUGUUUCAAAUUUGAAACAAAUUUUUCUACAAUUUUAUUUUUUUACAAAGAAAGUCAAUCUAUUGGCAGUACAAGCGUAAAAGUUGAAGGAUCAUGAUUUAUCAGUUAUCAGGAUCAGUCAUCAGGAUUAAUUGUCUGUGCAAAGUCUGUGCCAAUCCUUUUGGUUGAUGUUGCUAUAUUUCACCAGAAAAGAAGAUUGCAUGUCCAAUGCAGGUAAAGACUGUGUAAUUCACUGCUGACAAAGACUCACCAAAGCAUUUCAUCUUGAAGAUGGGAUUGGCCCUUCAAGCAAACAAAGUACAAAGUGACGGCAGAACAUUUUUAAAAGACGCUUUUGAGGAAGAUCAAUGACUGACAGACUCUCAUUAACUACAGUCCAUUAGGUGGAGCAUUCAUUAAAGUCUGGCUGUAUUUGAUGUCACUUUGAAAGAAAAGAAAUCUAAUAACUUUUGAUUUGGCUGAUAUUCAAAGGGAAUUUGACACCUUUUAAAAGCUAGGACACUGGUGCAAAGACAUAUAGGACUUGAAUAAACCACAUUUUACCCUGAAAACAAAGUCUCUGCUCUGUGAAAUGCCGUUAUUGCGCAUUAAAUGUGAAACUCAUUUUUUGUAAGAAGCCAUUUUAGGGUAUUCAGGUUAUUUUCUAAAGAGAGGUCUCAACAGUAAGUAAGGUGAAAUGCAUGGUUUGGCUGAGAGCUUUAUAACCUUCUUCAAUAUGCUUUGCUUUUCCCCCUCGACUGGCACUCCCAUUUUAAACAUUUAAUGUCACGGAGCUAUUCUUAUAAAUGUUGCCUAUUUUACCCUCCGUGGACGAGUCAUGGAUGCAUCAUCGUUAAUUGUAUGUGUUAUGCUUCCUUUUUUUUUCUCUUCAUAUACAGUAAGUGGGAACACAGCAUUUGUUCAAACAGGCUGUAAUAGGACAGUUCAUAAUGUUUGCUUUGUUGUGUUUCAAACGUUGCCUCUCGCAGCAUAUGACGCUGAUAGCUUAUUGUAUUUUUUGGGGUCAAUGUCUGCUGCAAAAAAGUGGAAUUGAACCUAGUAACGUUAUGAGCAUGAAGUGGCAUUUGAAAGGCCUUUCCAAAACAGCAUAGUAAAUAGGGAAAUUGCAAGCAAAUGUGUGUGUCAGUGUCCUGCUAUGACAUCUGUUUUGCAUAAUUAAGUGUUGGUACCUCACUAACGGCAACGUAAAGAGAAGCGAGUGGGUUAGCACCUGAAUGCAUGAGGCUCCUACCAUCAAGGUCAGUUCGGAAAUUAGUUUAAUCUGUUACUGCCUGGAAAAUGACAGAUACUAGGACAUCAGGUAAUUGCUUCUUUGGAAAAACGGAAGAGUUCUGUGAAGUUAGUCAUCCGCAUGGAUGAAUAUUAUAAUUUGCGCAGAGGAACAAAUUAACUGGGUUGAUAUAUUACAUCUCAGGAAGUGUGAAUGUCUUUCAGAAUGCUGUGUUCUGGCUCAUGUUUAUAUCUGAUGUGAGUCCCUUACAAGUUUGUGGUUCAAUACAAACAGUGAUGCCAAUCCAACGCAUAUAGCUUUAUAUUCGUAUGUUCUGGAGCCAGAAAAGCUACGGCAACAAGAACCACGGCAAGAUUUUCAGGCUUAUUUUGGCCCCAUAAUAUUUUGCUCAUAGUUUUAAAAGAUAAAUACUGUUUCAAGAGAAGUUCCUUACUUAAUUUACUGUUUGUUUGUUUUUGUCAGGGUGAUGGAUUAUGGAGUAAUUUGUGACAAAAAAAUUGAAGGCAGUCCACUGGAAUUAAAGAGAUAAACAAGCAACACAGCCACUGUUAUGUAAGACCAACAAUAUGUUUUGGAUAAAUAAUGAAGUGCUUGUAAUAUUUUUUUAUUGUUACUUCUGCUAAUCCUACCAAUACUUAACAUCCCAUUUUCAGCUGAUCUGAACGAUGAUGAGAACCAUAUCUGUGCCUUAUUUUUCAAUAACACAAUGACCCAAAGUUAAUUUUAAAAAAGAGCUCUAGCUUCUGGGGAAAUUCUUAGUUAUUCUUUGAUAGUAGUUAUUCUCGUGUUGCCAGCACGUCUGUCUCUUUCAAAGCCUGUCUCCGCGUGUUGAUGCCAGGCUGCAGCACUUCCUUUCCCUUCUAAAUCAACGCUGAUGUUUAUUGAAGAUCAUUUUGGCUCCAGUCGAAAAGUCAUUAUAAAAACUUCCAACAUAACUCAGCAAUAUGUUGAGGUCUGGUAAGCAUGGCCCAGAUCAAUAGUGGGAAUCAAUUCAUGUCACUGUCUGCAUUAGCCGACGGUAAAUGUAAAGCAUCCUUUCAAACAGAGGGCAUACACGCCGUCCGGGAGGACAGGAAACCCUUUGUGGUACGGUUCUCUUUGCUAAGUGGGUUUAGAAGUCAAGGAGGAACUAUUUACACCUAGUCUUAAUGUUUGAAAACGACAAGCACAAGUUCUGGGAUGGACACAUGUCCAUAAACUCCCCAGCCUGACCCGACAACUCCUGAAAAUUCGUAGUUUUUUGUUGUUGCUGUCUUUCAUAUUGUAAAACCCAACUCUCAAUCUUUCUGGAACUUUUUCUACGGCUUGGUUCUUGAUAUUGGUCUUGUGUGUGCUUGCCUGUGUGAGUGAGUGUGCAACUCUGCAUCUGUCCACGGCUGAUCUUCCAUUGUGCUGAAGCAAACUGCACGAUAUUUUGGUGCUGGCUUUGUUUGAAUGCUCAAAGACGCGUCAACGUUCUUGACUCCCACCUGACAUAUACUGCCAUUCACCGCCAACUGGCCCCCGCACUAUUGAUUGUAGCAUUUUGGACGGUUUGUAUUGUUAAUCCCUAACAUAAGUACCAGACCACACACUGCUGAGCACCAGUGUAUUUUAUAUUUAAGUAUAUUUUACACAGUAAUACAUUUGCAAGCCUUAUAAAAAAAUAAAAACCUGCUCAGGGAGUAAGUCAUUUGUGCAUACAAAAUAAGCCUUUUGAGGAACAGCAGUAUCCUCUAAUAUAUAUAUAGAUAUUAUUUUUUUUUGUCCUGUUUGACAGAUGAGAGGAGCACUGAUUAAUUGGUCUCUCUGAUGCUACUUUUAAUGAACAGCGAGGUCUGACCAUUGGGGGCAAAUUAGCUUGAUCCUCUUUUUGCGGAACAGAAUUAAUGAAACCCCUAUGGAUUAGGCUGAGUUUGUGUGUGUCGUGUAUCAAUGCUGGAAUAUCUCGCAACUAUAGCGACAACUCCAAUAUUUGCUCAACGGGAGGGAGCAAAGGUUCAGAUCAGUCACUAAUGAAUACGUAAUUUGUAUCAUCACAUCUUUAACAUUGCACCAUAAAGUUCUGAAAAACUAACAUGUAUUAUUACAUGUCGCUGACUGCUAACUGCAGUCAUUGCACACUGAUGUGCAUACUGCUGGUUUCUGUACAGAAAGCAGCUUGUGCAACGAUGAAGGAAUCGUUUCAUGGUCAUGUUUCAUGGUCAUGUUGGUUCAACAGUCCUUAUUUAAUUGUGUUUGUAAACAAAAUUUGGACCCAAUACCAUUUGAACGGGGGUUGUGUUAGUAAAAGGAUGCUUAUUUACACAUCGAGCAGACACUUAAGAUAUCAGAGUAAUCGGAUGUGGUGGAAGAAUCAGUCAGGAGGACACAAUCAGGGGCGACAAUCACAAGGGCAUAAAGUUAAGUUAAAACAAGAGGGAGGGUAAUACAAAGUAAAACAGAACAAACAAAACACAGUGACAAUCAGCAUGAAUUUAGCUUUUAAACGUUUUUGUUGUUUUCGUGCAGUUAAUCGGUAUGACGGAUGAGAAAACCAGAAAGGUAAAUUUACUCAGAGCAGUAUUGUAACCGCGUAGAGAAUUUUAAGCUAUACACAACAAUUUUCUUCAGACAAAUGCCGAUGCCAGAUGCUGUGCUAUACUCUCUAUGGACUUUUAACAUGCUAUUAUUUUAAUUAAUUAUGAUUUGACUUUUUGACUGAUUUACAUGCUGCUUCUGGAAAUAUGAUAUUCGUUGUAUUGGUCUGGAGGUGUUCGGUUCGGUCCAGCAGAAGCAUACAAUGGAACAGGAGCAGGUGUCAUGAAUUCUAAAACCAACAAACCAAGACGAACACUGACAAACACAAGAAAAGUCCAUAAUUAAACACCCAACCUGGAUUUCCCAUAAUUGCACUCCUCUUCCCCAAAUAAGUUGAUAUUAAUUUACAGAUUAGAAGAAAAAAGUAGCAUGUUGUGACUGUACAAUUGGCAAAGCUUUUUCGGUGGAGGCACGAAAGAGAAGCAGCCAUGUUUCCUUUUCAUUCUUUUUCCUGCUUGUGAGGGGUCAGGACUUCGACUCAGGUGCAGAGCAAUAAGGCAACAAAAACUUCUUUCCAGGUUUGGAAUCUUUUACUAGGAAAAUAAACUAAUGCAAGACAAAAGGGUAUUAAUUAAAAGAAAUGAAUGAGAAAGACAUGACACACAAAUAUUGGCUGUGAAUAUACUUGCUUCUUUGUACUCUCUUGGUCAGUGGUGCAUUUCGAUAGCAGUGCAUUUAGAUAGCAAUCAAGUAGCCCAUAAUGUCGGAGAACAUUGUAGAACAUAUAGGAAAAUCCUAGCAUGUGAUUUAGUUGGUAAGGUGUUACAGAAAAAGCAGAUUGAACAUUCAAUGUUCAAAUACAUUUUUCUUUUAAGUAACAGGAACGAUAGCGAGCAGAGGACUUCAUUAACAACAACCGUGCUGAAACAAAACCACAUAUCCUGCAGACAGUGUACAAUGCCAUAAUAACACAAUGGCCACCCGUCUCACGGCCGUAGUUCCAAAACUUUCAACUUCGUGACGUCCAGCGUUUGGCGUCCAUGGGGAAUGCCGGUGAUCACUCUGUUGGGUCGGACUAAUGGACUGAUGAGAUGUUUCAUUUCUAUGGUGCGAGUAAAUCCUGAGGAGAACACUUGUAUAUCAAAAGAAGUCCCCUUUCCAUUCACAUAUCCAAACGAGUUACAGGAUCAUCCUAGCAGGUACCAGAACAUAUUUUGUCCGUAUGUGACUUAACAUAUCUGAGAAGACAUUCUAUGUGCUUUUGUGAGAGACUCCCCUGUAUACAUUUUAUAGCUUGGAAAGGUUGAAAGAGGAGGGUGCUCAGUACUCUGGAGCUACAGUAUAUAAUAGCUGGGUGCAGCAUGUGACAUUGCAGAGGGGUAGAUUUGUACACCGGGCUGUCAUAUGGUGUGUGAAUAUGGCGUCCAUAAACCCUGAGGGUGCGAGAGUGAUAAAAUCCUGCAUUGUUGUAUUGCAAGGGAGAAUUCUCCCAUUAACUUUGGUUUGAUUGGAUAUAAACAUGGCAUUCAGGCGGGAGAGUCCUUCUUUCCAAAAAAAAAAAAAAAAACCUGGCCGAACGGUGCAGCACCUGCUGCCAAGUGACGGAGGUCACAUGGCUGGGAGCGGUGUAGCCACCGCCAUGUAUGGUCAGCCCGCAAAGACCAGUGUGUGGUGCCAGGGUUACGGGUGUGUAGAGGGAGGCAAAUGUACCCAUUACACUCAGACGCCCUUCCUCGCCAGCUGUGUGAGAUCUCUCUCUCUCGCUUUCCUGAAUUUGGAUCUUUCCUUCUUUCCCAAAGGGGUUUUAGUCGCUUUGUCUUUAUUACCCUCAUACACUCACUUACCUAGAGUCUAAACACACUGACUCAAUCACACACAUUCCCACCACUCAGCCUUCAAUCCAUCCCACGCCGUCCAAACAAAUCAACAGACGGAGCCAGAGGCUUGCCGCCCAUCUGGUCAGCCGUUUCAAACAGGGCCCCGCCGUGCAAAAAGGGAGAAGCCUCUAAUCCCCAUCCUGGUUGAAAGCUAGGGGGGUUCUGAUAGUUUCCCCUAAGUCAAAGUCAAGGACACAGAGUCCAACUUAACCACAUGGCAGCCAAGGUCGCUAAACUCUUUAAUCUCUCUCCCUCCUUUUCUCCUUUCUCACUCACUUCCACUCGCUCUGUCUCGCGCGCGCGCACCUGCCGCUUUUUCUCUCAUAGCCAGACGGCACAUUUCCUGCAGAGGUUUGAUUGUAGCAAAUCCAGGGGGAAAGACCCAUUUGCAGACACAGCAGCUGAUGUACUGUACUCCACAGUGAUUAGUGUGCGGCAAGAUCCCUACAAUUGUGGAGCCAGGGGAAGAGCAACCUGUGAAGUGUGUACCCUCAAAUGUUGGUCGCAGAUUGCAAAGUGCACUUUAGAGUACUUUUCCAGUGGUGCAGUAGUAGAUUUGGCUCAAAACAAAAAUACGUACUGCUGCUGCACUUUUUUCCACUGGCCUAGUUUGGAUGCUUGUAGAAGAAUAAAUCAUAAACAAAGCACUCUUUCAAGAUGAUUGGGCUUUUAUUGCAGAUUGCAUUAUUGUGUUAUCCAGAUUCUCUCUCCCUCUGGCCCCUGCUCACUGACAAAAUAUGUGGCGAAAUAAACCUGACAUUGGCUUGCUUACUUAUAAUUCUGUUAAGAAAAAAGAGAAUAUGAAUGUCAGCGCUCUUUGGUAAUGCAAUGUCAGCAAUUUUACCAAUCUGCUUUAUUUUGCAUAUGAGAUUCACGUUUUCUACUCUGGAGUUCCUUGGUUGACUAUUUUUAAUCUGUAUUUAUUCAUAGAAAGUUGGCUCACUCAUUUCCACACAGCCACCACACCUGGGAGCUGAACACCAUCGCCAUUGUUUUCUCAGUAUCUGACCAAUAAGCCCCCCGACUGCAGCAGCGGGAGGUUAAACGCUUUGCCGAAGGGCACUUCGAUCUCCGUUGUUAUAGGGAGCACAGAUAGCUGUUCCGUUCACCUAAUCCAAUUUUCGAGCUGGUCCGGGGGUUUGAAGUGUUGACCUUACACUCAUAUGCGCCCUACCACUCUAACCCCGCGGGCUGUAAACACCACACACAGAACUAACUCAAGACCUUCAUAGCAGAGCAAUCACGGAGCACUGUUUGAGUGGGAUAGAAAUUUGAAUGUCAUGCUCUGACAAAGUGUCAAAAAUCCUAAAACAUACAGCAGUGUCAUUAAAUUAAGAAUUGUUAGAGGGUCAAACAGGGACAGAAACACUUUCUGCACCAUCCGGAUAAAGGCUGAGUAACCUGGUGGAAUAAAGAACCACCAUAAUAAGGUUACUUUACUAUGAUUAUCAGUCGUUGCAUGCGGUCUAGAAUUAUUAAAUUGACGUGGUAACUCACAAAACCUUUAUUUCCAAGCAACAAACUCAAUAAGUACUGUUCUGAUUGUGGCAUUUCUUUAUUACGUACCUUUAGAAACAUUUUGUGUCAUGGGUCCAUUCUUAUUUAAAAUGCUACAAUCCCACUGAACAUCUAAUAAAAUCACACGGUGAAGACUGGAUGGAAACGACAGAGAAUGAUGUUUGUGGAAUGUGGACAAGCGGCUGGUCGUAAAGCGGUUGAGAGUAAUUUCCUUGUGCAAACAGCCUGCAGAGAGUAAUUUAAUUGAAAACAAUUUGAUGAAACAGGCAUAUUUAUGCAAUUUGAAUAUUUAUUUAAAUAAGUAACCAUGAAGGUGACCAGGGGCUGUCUGACAUUUGAACAGAAUAUUUGACCAAAAGGCUUACGCUUGCUUUUAAACGCCUACUACAUAUCCUCCGGCUCCAAAGCCUUAGACUUUUCAGGUGGCUUUUGGUUCCACAUAACUAGACCUACAGGUUCACUAUGGACUGCACUCUCGCUUACUGUGGUGUGAAAUUGCAUACGCAACCUUGAAAUGAUUCCCACAAUACCAGAUGGUCUUAUCAAUUGAGAAAAAUAUGUUUUACUUGCCUGUGUGCUGAAGGAAGGUGACAGUAAACGAAGGUUUGAUUAGAAAACGACACCUGGGGGGGUCUAACAGGUAACGGGAGAGUUUUACUGGAAAGAUAAUAUUUUCAUCCGAUUAUGAUGAAGCACGCUUAUGAGACCUUCAUUAAUUACUGAACCAUGAUCCUUUUCACUCAUGGCCUUCAGAAGUGGGAACAUGAGCACACGACAAAACAAACAAUUUACAUGGAAAUGGCAUUUGAAAUGAGAAACCACCUUUCCAGCCGGUAUACUAUAAAUAAAUGUGCCCCGCAAUUAAAAACAAAACUAUAGGUAAUCAAGAUAUUUCAUGUCCAAAUAUGCACAACCUCAAAGGCUGGGAUACGUUUUCCCAAAGUAAAUUACAAUAAAAUAAUUACGUUACCAGCUUUUUACAGACAUUCCAAAAAGUGCACUUUAAAUAAUAUGAUCCUGAAAUAAGUAAGGAUACAUCGUGCAAGUACAUCGGAAAAAAAAGAGAUGCUGAAUCAGGAAAAACAUUCUGAAGGGACGGGUAAUUUGGUGAGUGGGGCAAUGAUUUAUGAGGCAAAUUCAGAUGGAAGCGUUUCCUCAUCAGAGAGGAGAACAUUGAACCAACCUCCCCGUAUAGUUCAGUGAACAAAAUGCCCAAUGAUUGAUGAUUACUUCACAGACUCCCGAUCUAAAUUGCUCAUGUCAGAGUACACAUGGCGGACAUCACUAUACUCUUUCAUAUUCAAACAACAUGAUCAAAUAAUUAAUCCAUUUCCAGGCGCUCAAUAUAUCCACAUCACUUAUAUAUGUUGAUUUAGUGUCAUUCACUAUUUAAUCAGCAAAUAUAUACAGUAGUGAAGAUAGACACUAAAUGGAUGAGGCCAAACGUUUGCCUCUUGGUCCUCCUUCCUUCUUUUUGUUUCUGUGCUGUGACAUCCUUUCCUUUUCCUGUUUUGUCCAUUCACUCUGUUUCAAUGAUGCAGCAGAGAAACACAGCUGACAUGUGUAAGGCCUUGAAGUGAAGUCGUCAUUUGUUCAGCAAAUCAGGUUGAAAGCAGCCUCAACUGAAACAUUUGUUUUCUCAUCUUUUGAAGUAGCAGAAUCCACCAUUAUAAUAGGGUUGAGAUGCUAAACAAAGUACUCUUAAUAAUUAAGAAUAAAAGUCCCAGGGUAAAAAAUGUCAUAAAAGUCAUACCUGUAAUUUAAUUUGUUUUUGCUGUCACACAGACUCAUCUGCUGUGGCCCCUAAAUGCUGCAUUUAAAAUAGUAACGUUAUUGAUGAAGUUAAACUGCCUAAAUCAUUAUUACAUAUGUUUGGUUGUGUCCCAUGGUUUAAUGCAUGCCACUUAUUGCAAGUUGAUUCAGAUGAAAUUGACAGCUAAAUACAAAACUAUAUAUAUAAUUAUAAUUGCAACAUAUUACAUUCCUUACAACUAUUAAGAGUAAAGUGGCACAUCACACUGGGAUGUGAAUGCAAAUGUGUAUUUUUGCCUAUCCUGCUUGCUAAUGCUCCUUCCAGUGAGCUUGGCUUCAUGUUUGUGUAUGUUAUGACAGGUCAGAUCUAAUUAUCAAUAGUCGAGGAAAAAAGGUAACGCUUGGGAAAGAGCCUGCAGAAAGCCCUAUUUAUAGCAUCCAUGGUCCGGAAGCAGGGAGCCCCUAGAGAGGAAAAAAACCUACAUCAGCCUGAGGGGAAGUAAUUAGGACAGAUAUUUAAACUGAAUAAUGCAAGCUCUCUGAAAUAUUGAAAACACCUAAAGUUUAUUAAUUAAGCUCUAAUCUGGUGGUUUCAUGUCUCCUUUUAUUCUGUGCCAUCUUAAUUAUUCAGGGACAUGAAGUCAUACAGGACAGAUAACACUCUACAUGUCAUCAGUACACUCGUUAAGAGUUGAUUAAACGCGCGCUCCACCUCGGUACUUCUGCGUCAGCAGUCUGCUAUUACAGCCAAUGUGGUUCUGUAAUACCCACAGCAGUGAAUCAGUCACACUACAGUAGUCCAACAAGGUCACUUUGAAGUUGCAGCAGUGCAAAGUCAGUGGCGAUGUGUUAGGAGAGUCCUAAAAAGAAAGUCAAUUACAUAUAGGUAGCCUGGCACGUGUGCUUGAGGAUACAAAAAGAUACAGACAAAUGGGUGCGUACAACUCAAUGAAUGCACCACAAACUGUUCUCCUCAAACAGUAUUUGGAAAACAAGUAUUUACUUUUGCUGCCUGACAUUGUCGAGUCCAAGGUUACAGUUGAAAGUUGCCCUCUGCCUCUAAUCCCUUCUCUAUUCAUACUUCCCUCUUAUCUAUCUUCACUUUUGCUUGCUCUCUCUCCCACUUUCCCAUUUUGGUCUCUCAUCUCUCAACCAUCUCUCUUUUCUUCUUUUGUUCAUGCUGCUUGGGUUUCACAGAUGGAGUGACUUGAGGCGAUGAUGGUUAUGCAAAACACAGUUCAAAUGAAUGCAGGGCUGGCAUAAAAGGCAUACACACAGGAAUGCAUCUCGACUCUUUUAUGGCAUGAAAACCUUGUGGUGGAUCCAGUUUGGAUUCUACUGGCUUGCUACACAUUAAACUGCCAAUGAUGGAAUAAUCCAUCCUUCAAAGUACAUCAGAUAUCAGAUGAAUAACAUUGUAUUCCAUUGAUUACUACUAUUAUUAAAUCAUUUAUUUCACAACAUGAAAUGAACAUGGUCCUCUGUUGAGACUUCAUAUCGUAUAAUAAUAAAUAAGUCCCUGAAUUUCCCUCCGUUAUUGGAGUUAUAUUCAUAGAGUAUGCUUGGAAGAAACUAUUAUAAAUAAUAUUCAACAGCAGGACAGAAACAGAUAUCGCCAUCUGAAUUGUGUUUCAUCCACAUGAUUACAAUAUUUCACUAAAGUAGAAAAGUGCUCAUCUUGAUCUUUUUGCAAAAUCAUUCCGAAUUAUUAUUACUAAAAUAACCACUUUUGCGAAACCCCAAAACUGAGUUUCCAUAUUGAUUUGAAGCACGAGCCACAACAUUUUUAUAAAUAUUCAGCCAACCAAAAAUAUCUGAAUUGUUUUGCAAACAAGUUGUGAAAAUAAAACUGACAUGAGUCAAUUCCUAGAAAAUGUCUUAGCAUCUAGUGAGCAAGUAGAGGUAGCAUUUAGCUUUUUUAAAUAGGUUCAGGACUGAAACUACAAGAUCAGUAACUGAGAGACAAAAGAUUAAGGUUGAGCAUCAAGCCGCUAAACAAUGAGCGGAAAGUAGAAAUGCCACUAAAAGUGAUAAUAUGUUACCAAUAUUCAAUGUGGUGUUUUUGGUACCACAGUUACAGUGGCUACCAGGGUUCAGGAUCCUAUGCGACAGUGCCACGUCAUCCCGGGACAAUAGAAAAUGUCUCCAUCUGAUCACACAGAUUCAGGAGGCAGUUCUCAGAGAAGUGUACCUGGCCUGUAAAUAAGUAGUUUGUCUCCUACAAAAGUUACAAAAUUGUUGAACCCAACUGUUGAAGAGUGUUUGAGGAGGGGGCCAUACUCGCAGACAAUCCUACAUGCACUUCAUUCAGGGGAUGUUGAGACCCUCAAAUCUCAAAGAAGCUUCCUCCUCCUUCUAGCACAGUUUUCCCACUGAUUCCAAACUUAACUUGAAACCCAACUUUAAAGUCAACAGCUUUGUGCGGUGUGCUAAGAACACCACAUCGACUCAUGCAUUAAAUGCCAUCAUACCACGGGAAAAAUGAUUGUCAGCACUUUCCUUACAUGAGAAACAUUUUCAACAGCAGCUUUAGCUGAAAGGGCUCUGAUUUGAAUACUGCUUAGUCAGUAAUUGCUAUCUCUUCAUUGUCUAGAUUUUAUAUUGCGUGAUGGGCUCAGUCUUGAAGACUGUACAUCGCUUAACAUUAUCCAUGAGGUGCAGGGUCAAUCAAUACAGCGGGACCUGUCCUUUAGGAAAAUGCAAAUAUGUUGAGAAUCAAUACUCCUGUGUCAUCACCUCUCAUUUCAAUCAGGGGGGCUGAGAUAUGACACCAUGGCAGCCCCCCCCGGGAAUAACACUGGAGUGAAUCUCAAUGGACUCUCAACUUCAAUGCUUCUCCUCACUUUACUCAACCUGUCGUAUAAUCUAUAGUUUCCUAGACUGCCCUCCGCUCUUCUCUUUGUGUAAGCUUUAGUCUGUCUCCCUUCUGAGCCAAAAAACUUAACUUAUUUCAACUGCAAGAAGAAAUUUGCAUGGCUUUGUGUCACGGGAAGCGAUGAGCAUUGGGAAUGUCUGUUGUCACUGAAGUCAGUGAUGCUGUUGAGAUAGAAAUGGAGCAUUUGUUUACUGGAGUGAUCAACCAGUUAUGUUAUUUUAGAGAAAAUAAAAAAGAAUAUUGAGGUAUGAAUUGUGUGUUGGAGCUUAGAGUAAAAAAUAUCAAUAUAUUAUUUAGAAGCCGUGUUGCACAGCCGUACUUCUUGGGUUUAAAUCGGUGUCUCUCCCUUAGAUGAGCAUUUACCUUCUUCUCCCUGUUUGAGGAUGAAUAUGUUCUUUCAAAAAAGUACUCUUCCCAGCUUUAGCCAACUCUAAACAAAAUCUGUCGGCUCAGCUUAAUCUUUAAGAAGAUCAGUUAAAUUGCCGUGGAUUUCUUCACACUGGAGGUUUUCCUAUUUCACAAUUUUCAAACACUUGACACAAAAGUAGUAAACAUUGAAUGAGAAUUCUAGAUUGCUUGUCGUUUCACGUAAAAAAUAAAUAAACCUGAAAGCUGAAUGUAAAAAACUGAUAUCAAAUAUAGCCAGCACUCUAUGUGCUCCUCAGCGCAGAUAUGAAAAGGAAAUUUAGUAAGAAAUGUUGUUGAGCGUUUUCAGACGCACCUCCGGGUUUCCUCUCAAACAGUAGUUUCGCAUCACUGGUUGGAGGACAAUUGGCCGGUAAAACCCAGUAGCCCAUACCUCUCCACUGAAUAGAAAUAGACUCAUUGUUGGACUGUGAGCACCCGACUGCCACCUUGAGCUUCACUCAGCGAUUAAACAUGUUUUGCUUUUGGCUGACCAGCCGUUGUCAAGGGUCAACAGUUGUUUUAUUCUCAGUCAUGGUUUCCAGCUCGACUCAUAUGACGCUUCGCUGGACACAUCUGGUAGCAACAGCAGUGCCAGGUUUGACAUGAGCAUCUGCGAGUUUGUCCUUGUCUAUGAGACUCAUGUGUUGCCUUGCAAAGUGUCGUUUUUUUCAGGUUUUUUGGGGGGUAAAACAACAACAAAAAAUUCAGAAAAAAACAGAAGGCACUUGUCAGUAUCGGUACCUUCUCCACAUCUCAGCACACAUAAUUCGCAGUCCAAAAAACGUAAUUGUAACAAUUAAACUCCAGAAAAAUAGUAUCGGACACUGAUUUCAAUCAAAUGCAAAUUGAAGGUAAGGCCCCAGAAGCAGUAAACGACUGCUAGAAGACACUCGUUGUUAACACAGACCGUAAUUAACUAAAAUCAAAUCAAAUUGUAUUUUGUAGAUGCCAUGUUGGCCUUUUAAACUGUCGCAGAAUAUCUCUUUACAAUAGAAACAUAAACAUAUAUCCUCCCAUCCCAUUAUCAUCCUAGAUUUUUAUGGCAAGAUAUGCCAUAAAUAGACAUAUUUUUUAUCACCUCUGUCCACCAUUUCACAAGGUGCGAGCUGUUUGCAACAUGAACUGACAUAAACACAAGCAUAUAUGUCAAAGGGUUUUUUAUUGGCCUGCACAUUCUCUCCUUGGGUUGGUAUCAAAGCGAAAGGGGCCAGAAUACAAUAGAAAGACUGUUGCUAAGACAGUUCUGGUUAUGUUUAAGAAAACCUGGCGGAAAUUCAAUGUUGUUGCCAAUCACUGUUGCUCUGCGUCAUCUUUUAAAUGGCUGUGAGGAACAUGACUGACAGAACUAAUGGUUGAUCAAUCAUGAAGGGGAAUCUUAUCAAAUGACUGCCAACGCAAAGCGGAGGGUGGAAUGCAAGCGCGUUCUCUCCAAUAAAGCCAUGCUCUUCUGAUGUUGACUUGAGAAUGUUUCAUGUUGUUCCUGAUUGAACUGAACCAGGCCGCGAUACUGAACUGGCUCUAAAAAGAAAGAGCAAACAUCACAUGAUGCCAUUUCAUUUUCUCCAGUAUUGAACUGCAAACACCAUUAGUUCUGCAAACUGACCACAAAACAAGCAUACAACAUCCGUAACCCCGGGCCCGUAAUAUGUUGUUUCCGCUCAGAUAAGACUAUCAUGAGCCUCCGGGAGCCGUGUAAAGGUGAUUGUUAUUUGGUAUUUCACAUACGAGACAGCAGCCCCUCUCGGGGUCAUAAUAUUGAUUUCUUUCCUCUUUUUUUGGUUCUGACAUUAGAUGGCAAUGGCAAUUUCUUUUUUCUCUUACCUUUUGUUGAUACGUCCUCUCACUUUUGAAGAAUCUCGGUCGGUGGUGAUAUUUUCCAAAUCGAUCUGUUUGAUCAGAAGCAGUCUGAUGCAAGCGGGCAAUUUGUCACUGGCUCUAUGGGCCGGGUUGUAUUGUCACAAGUCGGAAAUGGCAAUUCAUCUCGAGGCUUUGCCGAAUUAACCACGGCCGAGGUCUAUUGUUGAUGACAAGCUUGAUUCUAGCGUGAGACAUGAUUUAUUCCACUUUAAAUUGAAUGACUUAACCUUUCUGUCACUUAAUAUAAUUGUACUGUUCCUCAUAAUUCAAAUUUGUGUUCUCCGUGUUUGGCUGUGCAAGAAAGUGGUCCGAAAGUCAUUCAAUCUCUGGCCACUUAGUGUUCUACUAAACGGGAAAAUCAUUCAUCCUGAUGGUGCUAUACUUCAACUACGUGGGUCAUUUCUUUAAUUAGAACCAGAAAAUGGACGUAUAUUUGGCUAAAGGAGCGAGCAGUUGACAUUUUUUAGGUAAUAUUUUCUCAUUGAAUAAUUAGGCUUAAGCAUCUGUUAGGGAACAACAUUAGGAAAGCUACCAGGAAAAAUAACCUCAGAUUUAUUCAACGGUGGAUUUUAGGAUAUGAGCUUGAGCAAUUAAACCUCAGAAAUGUGCAAUUUAGACUCACUCCUCUGUCAUUUUCACCUCAGAAUUACUAGCUGGGUGCUUAUUUCUGCAUACACGUUGAUGCACACACAGGAACAAUUACCGGUGAGUUAAAUACUUUCUUGCCAUGAGUGACAAAGCCAAGACAAAACCUGACAGUGUGUCUCGUGUACUCUGAAUUGGGGCUUAACUCUGCUUUCCUCUCUCCUUAAGUCUUAACGCAAACACGCAUGAUCCAAUAACAGCGUAAUAGGAUGGAGGCUGAUGAUGAAACUUUUACUGUCAUCACACUCGUUAAAUAAAAGGACCUAAAAAGUAGAAGAGAGCGAGGCCGACGAGAGGAAGGCCGCAGAGGAAGAGACACGGAGAGAGGGAGGAGGCAUGACGGGAAAAAAAAGGACUUAUUCUCUUGAGAAAGAUUUAUGACUUAAAGCCGAUGUGGCUGUGAACUCUUUAGUGCUUUGCCUCCGUAAAAAUCCACCCACAGUGGUGCUCAGUAACUCAACUGCAAUCCUGCAAUCAAGAUUGUGUCUCCCUGUAACUGUGCAUAAACGGCUCCCUACACAUGUUUGGUCCAGACAACAUACCUCCGGCUUCGAAGUUUAGAAUUGUACUGAAAGUAUUGAUUUACACAUCUGCUUGGUUUCCAUGUAUUACCUACUAGAUAUGUAUCUCUCUAAUUUUUCUAGCUAUUAAAGCAAUAACUUCUAAGACUAAUACGGCCUGUUGAAAAAAUCCACAACUUCUACAGCCAGUGAAAGUAUACCAUUAAAAGUUACACUUCUGUUAAAUACUGCUUGAUUUCAUGACGUCCUCAGCAACGCUUUCAUCUUUGUUUUGUUGGGAAAUACAGUAAAUCAAUAUAAUUUUGCAGCCACAAUCACAGCUCCAUUUCAAAUGGCACUUCUGUUUCCACAUGAAGUGUAUUAUCAGUUUCAAUAAUAUUUGCGACAAGUUAAUUCAAGUUCAUGUCUUGACGACCAAUAAUUCACUAUUAUCACGUUUAAUUGAUCAUUUUGUGGCCAAGGUUUUAUUCUGUUCUGUUGCAAAUGAUUAUGUCAAUGUUUGUUUCCAUCACAGACUGCAUAAAGGGAGAGGACGUAGUCACCAUAAUGUCCCCUAUUUGUUUGCAGACAAAGUUUGUCAUAGUGGCUGUCAUCAUCUCGGCUUUAUGCAACCACAAACUACAUUUAAGCGAGGAGUUAAGAAUAAUCUAAGGCUAUAUAAGACAUUUUAAGUUGAGCAAAUGUUACAAACCAAACCAAAAGAAGACCAGUAAAAUGCCUGGAUUUACUUGUUGAAUUAUAUAAUUAUUUAACUUUUGUAUGUGCUAUGUAAAGAAGGACGUUCGGUGGCUCUCUGUGCCUUUUGCUUUUGCACAUAAACUUUAUGAUGAGCAUGUAUCAGUAUAUGUUUUUGUCUGUUGACAGGGAGAGUACACUCACACCAUGUUUGUUUUGGGGUCCGAGCUGAUUUCCAGAGUUUGUUUUUUUCAACCGAGUGAGAUUCUCUUGGGACUCACUCUACAUUCCCUGCUGCUGUUGGUGUACUGUGUGCGCCCUCUAGCUAUGUGGCUUUGUGAGGUUGAACCAUGGUGGUUCACCGUGCAGGAGGACUCUCUAGAAUAAGUAAGAGUUUACAUUAAUGUUUUAAAAAGGAUUGGUUCACCGGCACCACUAAAGAGAGAAAUAGAAGUUUAGCUCAAGUUGGGAGACGUCAGUUGAAAAAAUCGCGUACAAUGUAGGCCUUUUAGUUAAACAUUCAGUUACUACAUGGUAGAAAAUUAGCAGCGACGUGCCAGGAAAAUUACAAACGACUCUUCCCCUGUGGGCUUUUUAAGGGAAUAAAAUAAAUUGUCCAAUAUUCUUGUGAAAUUCCAUUUUCCUCAUUAUUGUGUGAUUGGGGCUCCAGCAGUGAAUUUCUUCAACACUUUUUUAAAAAGAAUUUAUACUAAAAACUAUACUGAACAGGAUAAAAAGCCACAAGGUGCAUUGGUCGGGCACUCGCAUGCGCACAUAAGCUGAGGGAACUUGCCAGACUGUGUUUGGCGCUGCCAUGCAUUUCUGUGACCAUCAGAAGCUGCUUGCUGCUUGGCUGGGUUACAAUUGAUUUGAUUUAACAAACUUCACAUCACAUUCAAUUACUGCUUGGCUCUGGAACAAGCAUGAAUAAUUCCCUGUACUGUUGAUGAAAAGUCGACGUGCAAGCAAGAUUUGAAAACUAUUGUUAUCUUAUUUUUAUUUUUACAAGGCACAUGUCUAGAUGAGGCAAGUCGGUUUUUCGGAUAGAGUGCCCAAAAACCGUUUUGAUGAGUUUGGGUUUUGGAGUGUCAGUAGUUGGCGCUAUAACUAUCCGUUGAUACAAGCUUGCGAAGUCCUCAGGCCAUGACUCUAAUCGAGCUGGUGAGGAUUGGGAAAGUUGUAAGUAUGGUCGUCUUACUGCAGUUUGAUCUAUUAAUUCAAUUUAAUUCAUUUUAUUUUGUAGUUGCAAAUCACAAAUUUGCCUCAGAGUGCUUUACAGUCUGCACACAUGCAAAGUCCCCAGUCACCAAAACCAUCACAUCGGCACAGGACAAACCUUCAAUGGGGAGAAAAAAGACAACCUCAGGGAGAGCGGCAGGAAGGAUCCCUCCCCUGGGAUGGACUGCAAUGCAUGCCAUGUGUACAGAAUGAAAAACAUAAAAUGAACAAUAGCUUAUAGUCAUACGACAAAAAAUGUUGCGAGUAGUAAGCCAGGUGUACGGCAGGACCACUGCAGCGACAACCACCAUCAGAUACAACAACCAGAAACAGAAACCUGUGAGGAGGGAAGGCACAAAGACCUCAGGAAACAAGCAAUGUUGGUAAUGUUGGUUUAUGCUGACAGUAAUAGUAAUAUGAUCAAUAUGAAUAAUGAUAGCAGAAGAUGUUGUCAGCUGAAACUGAAUUAGUGAUGUGCAUUAAUGAGAUGAGAAUUCAUAUAAAUGGAGAGAGAGAGGGGAGAGAGAUGAGCUGGAAGUGUAGGUCACAACCGUUUAUCUAAGGGCUGGUUCAGUCUAACCUCACACAAGAGGAGCUUGAUAACUGAAUUACAAUGCAAAAUGGCCGCCACACAUCGUCCGUGCCCUUUAAUGACACUGCAUCUUUUGGUCCUGAGGAUGCAGGACAGAUGCAUGAUAUAACCUCUACAAUGACAACGGCAGUACAUUUAUUGUUUUAGGCUGGUUGCAAAUGUGUCGUGCGCGGUUUAGGAGCGUGUCUGGUUACUGGCUAUUGUGAAAAUAAUGAAUAAUUAUCUUAUUAGUAAGAUAAUUCAUGAAUUGUGAUCGACGACUUGAAUUUUGCUAGGCACAAGUCCAUUUGUUUGGGUCAAUCUAGCAAUACAGUUGUUAUUAUGCAAUCUCGUAGCGUGUUAGUUAAUACCAUCCGCGGUUCCCUCCACGGCAGAAAUUGUUCUGAAGAAAAUGGGCAGAGGGUGAGGAGAGGGGUAUGUCUGGAAGAGAGUACUGGUCUUGAUCAUCUCAGACCACAUGUAAAUUUUUACAGAGAAAUCCCCCAUAAGUGUGAAUCAACAUUGCUGUGGGGUUUUUGUUAGCAGCACUGAAGGUCGCAAAUCUGCCUUUGUUACAAACCCCAUGGUAAAGGUGCGCAAUGAACCCAACGGAAGCAAAGGAAACAGAAGCACACUAUAAAACUGACUUUGUUGUGUGUCCCUUGAUAUUUUUCAACAUUAACUCCAAAACUACCCUGUGCCAACCAGAGCCUGUUCAUCAUCAGAUCCAAAGAGCUACCUAAAGCACCGAGUGGAGACAAAGCGUUUCUCCCAGCUGUCCUGCCAAGCAUAACUUAUAUCUUCCCCUCUGGUAUACUACGCAGGCAUCCACCUCCCAUCAUGUUCCUUUGGCAUUCAAAGCAGAAUUACCACAGGAAGUGGUGCCAAGCUCAGCUUCUCAUUGGAUGGGCUUUUGGAAGUGCCAGAAACUAACAUCUCCAUAAGUCUCAACAAGGGAAUGUAUGAAUAAACGGAAUGAAAGAACAAAUUGUCGCUUGGGAUUUGUUGUUUUUUUCCCACUGAAUCACUCAUGUCUAUAUUAGAUAGGAGACAUUUUGGUUUGUUUUACUUGACACUUCUGUUACCUGUCAACGGUUUCAGUCUUUUCAGUUGUAAUUUAGAGUGAGCCUUUUGAGGAUUAGCUAAUAUUAUUUAUUGGCUGAAUUUCCAGAAGUUUAUUUACUCUCACGUAAAAUAUGAGUAAAUAUGUAAAUAAAUCACACAAACUAUUCAGAAGGAUUUUUUCCAUAACGCUGAUCAUGCUUAUUAAAUUCAAUACUGAGGUUCCAGGGCGUGGUAAUUUAGAAGUUACUUGGAGGAAGAGUUAUCAAUGUUUUUGCAUAAGAGCAUCAAAAAUAUUGCUCCCAGGGGCAAACAGUAAAUAGAAUACCAUUAAUAUGUAUCUAAUCCAUUUGAAUAAGUGAAUGAAAAUGCAUAAAAAAUGAUGCCGGUGAAAAACAAUGCACUUUCAAACAUUAAAAGAGGUUAAAAAAAGCGAAUAUGUAUAAUACUAUAAAAAUAAUACUUCCCGCGAUUCCUGUAUUGCCUCAGUGUUUCUUCUCAGCUCAGCGGGCAGGCAGCUGGGGAGAAAAUAACUAUUUAUGUAAAUGAUUUUUUGACAGGAAGGUGAUCAUGUUAUGCCAUGAACAGGUUUCUUUACAUAUUAAUUACAUCUACCAGCUGGUGUGAGAGAGGACGGCUCCAGAUACGCAGCCCAUGCGGACUCAUUACUUUUUACACACAGAUCUAAGCUGUUGCAGCACCACAUACUCGUUAAAAUAGAAUAUGAAAUUUCAGUGCUGCACUUUUUUUCCUUACAGCUCCUACUGCCCUUACUUCUCUUACUCCUACUGUCAAUAACUCUGAUGUAAUAGCAGAUAAAUACAACAACCUGCAGACAAAAAAUGAAGCUCAGGAAGCGUAAAUUCAGUCACGACGCCGAGAGAAUCCUUUGCCUCUCCCAGCGGCCUCCUCUCUCUCUAUUGGGUGCGCCAUCAGCUGACUGGGGGCGGUGCUCCUUCAGUACUAGCCAACCAGUCAUGGACACCGUUUCAGUAAACUAAUGGCAUUGGUGAUGUCUGACGUUAAAAGCUGUUCUCCACUCUGUUGCGGUCAGUUGUUAUUUGAGCACGGCCCCUGAAUCAGCAAAAAAAACCCGGCAUAUCACGGGAGUGGAGCAAACUUAUUCGCCACCACCACUAAUGUCUGGACUCCCAAAAGGGGGAUUGGCCUCAUCCCAUCUCGGCAUCUUGGCCCUUGGUCUAUCCGACAGCUCGACAGAGUCCAAAAAUAUGAGUUAUGGACAUAAGCUAGAAGAAUCCAAUAUUAACGCGCAGAUGGCGGGGCCUGGGGCUUCACAAACAGACGUACCAUUCAUUGAAUCUCUUCUGUCUUUACAAUACAACAAUUUUUGGAACUAUCUUGUAAGUCAUCGUACACCGAAGAUGCAGUUUACACUAUUGACAUGUGAUCUCGUGAUCAUAUGCUGUGGAAUUCCAUAACAAUUCCAUAACAAGAAAGUCAUUUUAGCAAACAUGACUGGAGAACAUGGUGUGAAAAGAAUUCUGGCCGUGCAGAACACAUUUGAAUGUAUUUUUUCUCAAAAGAUCGCACCAAUUUAACUGACAUAUCUUAAAUGUUUACACAUGUAGACCUUCUGUGAUAUUAAGGGCAAAGACCAACAACCGUUACCCAGCCUUUUUAUUAUUUUCUUUUUUUCGGUGUUAGAGAACAUUUUGCAUCUGGAGUAUUAACCUGUGCAGAAACAAGUAGCACAUGCAAUUUCACAAAGAAAGUGUGAGGACUUCGAUCUGAGGACCCUCGUGGUGAGUACAUCAACACAGAAACAGCCUGGUGAUAAAUGCAUGACAAUCCCCAUGAAGGAUGUGCAGUAAAUGGCUGACGAGUAAGUAAAAUGGCUGAGUAAGUGCACUCUCGCCCAAAUACAAGUUUUAUAUUCCAAGUGAAAGUGUUGUUUUUCAGAUGCAUGUUGUGUACGUGGAAUGGGACAUGUGUUGUGUACAGCUGGUGUUACUCUAGGGUCUUUUUUUACUUAUGCACAGCACGCUCUUUGCCCAAUAUAAACGAGGCAGCUGCAGAUUCACCUCCGUCUAAAGACACGAGUGAGCCAACAUCCACCAGAUAUUGUGGCUGUCUCACCCAUAUUCCUUGCCCCGACGUGUCAGCAGUAUCAGCGAGUGUCAGUUGUUUUUUUUGAAAUUCCAGAUAAGGUCGGGCGAUAGGUGGGAGUGUGAGCAUUCGUGAAUACAUAUUGGAAAUGAUCAUUACAAUUAUUAUAUCACAUUGACCUUUAACGGAGCAUGUGUGGUGGAAUUUAAAGAUUAGCCACUGUGAAUUUUAAUAUUUGCAGGAAAAAAUUAUUUUAUUCAUUGCUGGUUGUAAGGCCUGUCACGUGUCCUCUCACCGCACUCCACAUCCAGCACUCUGCGUGAUAUUUUCCCACGUCACAAGACAGAUUUCCUAAUAUAAGCUAAUAUAAACAUUGGGAAGACAUUUCUGGCAGUAUUAGCCUUUGAUUGAAUGCCAUUUAAACCUCUGAGUGUGAGUGGUGGAUCUCAGGGGUAGGACUUGGCAAUCUGGUAAAAGAAAAAAUGUCCUUUGAGGACGGGUGUUUCAUUUAUACUUCUUUUGCAAGGCACAGAGCAGCAACCCUCCACAAACACACCAGACUACACGUACGUAAAAAUGCACAUUAACACACUAAACCAGGGUUGUCUAAUUGCUUAGUGUGGCCAAAUACAUUGCGUUCUCUUUGCCAGCUAAGUUGAAUUGGCUCAUCCUUACAUGGUUUUGGUGACGCUCCAGACAUCGUUCCAGCUUACGAACCAUGUUACACGGAAUGUUGGCGUAUUCCGACGUAAGAGGAAUACAGAUAUGCGUGUGUCUGUUUUCAGUUUGCUUGCAUUUUAUUUUGGUUUACAGAACAGUUUUUUAACCAAGUCGGAUGUUUCUAACAUGCUUCACUUGGCACCAGACAAAUAUCAGACCCUAAAGAUCAUCAAUACAUCUAAAAUAUGUAAAGCAGUUUAAAAGGAAUAAAACGGCAAAGUAUGUAUUUACAUGUACAGUAAGCUUUUAGAGUUCAUUAAAGGCACAAAGGAAUUUAGUUCCCUGUUAAUCUAAUAUAACAAUCUCAUUUAUCCAAACAGGUGUAUUUCUUGAUUGUACAUUCCUACCAAUUUACGGUUGGGUCUAUCAAGGCAAUGUAGUCCGGGAGAAACGUUAUCACCACUUGCUGUAUAUGCUUUAGGUUUUCUGUCUAUGCUGCUAAUCUCCUGCAAAGCUGCUUUGGAUCUUGUGUUGCCGCUUAUUCUGAGCUGCUUUUGUUUGUUUUUCACAUCAUUUCCAAAAUGGCUGGCUCGCUUCAAGUCCCCAUAUAUUUCAUCCUGGGCUUUGCAUUGUGAGUUCCUCAAUGACAGACACAUAGAUAUGGGCUUAGCACUUUUAUACCGCUCGUCCAUAAACAGCAAAAAUAGAUGAUUCCAUUUUACAUGGUGAUAUUUUUCUAGCACGGAAUUAACUUAUCAAUUUGCAGGCAGUGUCUGCCUGUUGCACACCAAUGAGUAACGAGCAGGUUGACAUUUUUAAGUAGAAUGUGAAUAGAUUAACAGAAAUUUGAUGUAACAUUUGGAUUAAAGAGACUGAUCAUGUCUUCAAUCUGUGAGCUAAAACUCAUGUCUCAGAAGAGUGUGACAAUGAACACGACCUACAGCGUGCAGAGACUCAUUGCCUGUGGCCUUUUACAUCCACAGCAAACUAAACUUUGUACCAAACGGCUCCCUCACUGAUGUUUUGUAAGAAAUCAUUUUCUGGAAGGUUGAGCUGCAUAUAAACUCUGCAAUUAUGCAUACAGUACAGCGUUGAAGUAAACUAAUUGAAUCCUCUCUCAAUUUCACUGUUGCAUGAGCUAAGCUGUCACAACGUGAGCCCUAAACAUUAUGUUUGUCUUUCCCUUGUUUCAAACUGCCUCAUCAUGAGCUCUAUUCAACAGUGAGGGUUUUUCUAGAAUGAGCGGGAAACUUUACCCUUUACAACUUUAACUGGAUGCGUUCCCCUUUUGGAUCAAUAAUGCACACCAAAAAGGGAAAUUCAGCCUCAACCGGAAAAUGAGUUUACAAUCUGAUGUCCGUUGGGUUUAAAGAUGCAUCCCAGUGGCAAAAAAUCUUGUAGAAAGUGAAAAUGAACAUGACUCUUCACUUAUCAACUCUUUUCAUGUGUUGAGGGGCUUCAUGAUGAAUAUACAGAGCAAUAACCACAGGAAAUCAAAUAGCCACUUAAUGUAGCAGUAUAUUAUGUUUACACUGCAAAUAGAUCAAACUUCACAGGUUCUUGUGGAACUAACUUCUUGUGUAAUUUGUAUAAUUCCACUAUUACAUAAAUGCUGGACGUAGAUGGAAGACAACUAAAAGUGGAUUACUCAUCUCAGAUGAAGAGAUGCAUGAGUGGUUGUGAUAAUCAAACAAGGCACAUCAAAAGAGUCGCACACACAGAUUGUAGUGCCCAAUGUGCUCAGUCAAAUACAAAUGAUCUGCGGUUUCAAAUUGCAGUCAUCCAAAGCAGCUCUUAUGAAAAUGGGGCUGUAGGGGUUAUGCUAAGUAUCAGUCUCCACCUUUAGUUUUCAUUAUGAACACAUGAAAAUGUCACAUUUGUAUCUCACAAAGCAACUUUCUGACACAGGAAUACAAAUAUGCCCAUAAGACAAACACACCAGACACCAGCAAUACAAACAAAGACGAGAGAACACGUCAAAUUAAAGCGAAUGCGUAAAAUAACAAUGAAAGCAAAACAAGCACUGGCAUUUCAAGGGUUAAGUCCCACAGGAUAUUAUUUAUUGCAGUGCCGUGACCGGCCAUGGCCCAAACAGAACGGCCCCUUUUAGAGAGGGACAUGUUUGGGCAUUUGUGUCAAUUGUCAGGGAUCUGAGCUGGGCUGGGCUGUGAGGCGGUUUACAUCGAUAACAAUGAGCCAUCAUAUAACACUUUUUCGUUCUUCCAAGUAACACAAUUAAGGUUGAGAGUCCUGCACUACCUGUAUGUAGAAGAUGACAGUCAACAGAUUAUAUAAAACUCAAGAUCGGAUGAUUUGUUCUGUGUUAUACAUUUAGUUUUUUUUUAUUGCUAAGAAUGGCUUGCUUGGUACUCAGUAGGUACAAACCUAACCAGUUACCAGUGAAAUAUGUAAUCAUUGAUAGUAAACACAUGGAAAGGCUAUCAGUGAAAUGGUCAUUAUUAAAAGCGGACUUUAAGAGUUUAGAUUUGGGAGUUUGAUUAAAUAAGCAUGACCUGAAUCAAUAUACUAAAUAAUUACCCAAUGCCGGCUUUGUCCAUUUAAAAACAUAGGAGAUAACCAACAGAAGCACAACAGGGAAGCAAACAAGAGUGAAAGCUGAAGAGUGUGACUGUUAUAACAAGCCCUUACAGUUGGUAUUGAACGAGAUACACUGCUGGCCUUGGGCAUUUUCAACUCCGGUACAGACUCACUCGGUGCAUUACAGUGAAGCCUGUCAUGGGUUCUUUGUGGGCCCUGUGUUGCAUGUGACGUGAGGUAGCCUCCGUGCGGUAGUCAUGAAGAGAGCUAGAUUCACUAGAUUCGCUCCCUGUUCUGAAGGCCUGACAGCCCCAUUAGGACCGAAUGAGGAGGAAUUUGCCUUACCUUGGCAUUAGAUCCCUCACAGCCCCCCGACAGCUAUGGCAGCUCGUCAUAGCAGCUUGCUUAUGAGAACUGUGGACCCUCUCCUUCACCACCUCAGCCACUGCACUUGAAAUGCCAUACUUUCCUUUACACUAUAAGAAACAAUAUAAUAGAAAUAGAAAAUACGUGUUUCUCUGGUUGCAAAAAGGAAGAGCGAGCUGGAUCUACGAAGCGAAGCAUGGAGUGGGUUGAGUGACAGGAAGAAGUUGAAAAGCACACAAGGCAAUUUAGAAAUGUAUAUCAAUCUCCCCCUUGUGGAAACCCAAACUACACUCCUGGCAUCUAAUUUCUUUCUGCCUGACACGCCAUGUAAAAUUGAUCUGUAGAAAUGUGUCACCUCGAGCUGACAGGAGAGGAAAGACGGAACGACAGGUAACUCCAGGCACAACAAGACCUAUUUACGAGGUUUAUUUUCCAGUGCGCUUGAUUCAAAAAGUCUGUCCCUCAGACCAAUAUGGAAUAUUGUACCUUUAGAAAAGCAACGCUAUUACCGAUGCCAAACCCAUAGGAGUUAAAGCCCGGAAGCAAUUUUUUGUUAAUGUCACAAACAUAACACCCCAUGUUGCUUUUUAGGAAUACAAGUUACUUUUAGGGCAGCGUCCCGUUAACGGCUGCUCCCGCAAGAAACGACUUGUUUGUAGCUGAUGACGUCAAUGAGCUGCUGAAUCUGCUGAAAAAUACACCUCCCACAAUCACAGCAUUGAGCAUGAGAAGCAACAGCUCUGGCAGUUGAUGAAUCACCAGGAAGUAGAACACAAAAAAGCGCUCCCAGAGUGUGAAUUGGUGAUGGCCAUCUGGAAGCGAUGAGCAAGUGGCCCCUUCGCCUCCUCAGCCUGUCAACUGGGACCAAUGGAGGCAGGAAUCAGUCAGAUGAAACUGAUGCGGACAUCAGGUGGAGGAUCCACUUACAGCUCGUCUCGCCUGAGCUCGCUUUGACUGCUGGUGCACUCCGAUACGCUGCCUUGCCUCUGCAAGACAGUUCUAUUUCUCCAACCUACUAAAGCUGUUCAGCGGUGACUAAACACUCCCAAAUGACCUUAUCAAUUGUUUUAUUAUUUCAGCCGAAGCGUGGGUUGGGCUACCCAAGGUGGGAGGAACAUAUUCCAAGUACAGAGAUCUAGUGAGAAUCCUGCCCCUCCAACUGGGCUUUGGUGCUCAGUGAUUAUGCAAAACCUUUUAACACAUCUGGGCUAAAAUGAAAGUGAACAAGGGAUGCUUUGAUCACGCUGCCGAGGUUACCUUGACAUCAGGGUAAUUCUCUACUUUCAUAUUCUACCUUUGUUCUUUAUAAUUCAAGGCUUGUAAGCAAAAGCUAUACUGAAAAACAAUGAUCAGACCGGGGUUACCGGGGCUACAGCAACUUACAGAAAGGGGGACAUAUGGAUCUAUUUAUUCCUGUUUCUGACAUUUAACAUUUAAAAUGAUAUCCUAUCUUAUGUUUGCUAACAAAACAGGUGAUGGAAAUUCCCCCCGAGAAAUAUCAAUGAUGCAAAAACUCAACUCUCUUUACGAAUUUCAUUUAACAGAUACAAGGAAAUAGUUCAGCUGAAUGGAUGGAGUUCUUUACACAGAGUUGGAGAUGGUUCGGAGGUCUAACCAUCUCUGAGUAUCUAUUAACAGUAUGUUCUACCCCCUCAACAGCACAAUAUAAGCAACUUAUAAAAGUAUUAAAGCUCAAAUGUGUAUGUCCAUAGGUUCUCUUGUUGACAAAAAAGGACUGACCACUGGAUUCGUUAUCUCCUUCAGGAUCCAAAACAAAACAAAAAAAGCAAACGGGAACAAAAUGAAACAAAACAGUCUUUGUUCGUCCAGCGAAGACAAAACUGAAGACCAAACUUCGUUGCUGUUUGCGCUGUUUCAGUAAGUGAAACUCGGGGCUCUGGCGCCACCUCUAACGUGAUGCAGUCCUCGUCCAGUGGGAGCUUUGUCCGUUUGCACACCUCUCCUUUGUUCUUGAGGGGGAGUCAGGUGCUCAGAGGGGGCACGCGACCAGCGGUGUACGGCUCUAACAUACGUGUCCUCCUGCAUCUUCUUGUUGUACCCUUUAUUCUGCAGGCUGCAUGAUCGUGAGGGCCCAACGCCUACAAACUUUUGACUCACACGGAAACCCUCUUUUCUGCUGGGUAAAAAUCUUUGUGACACAUAAUAUAUGAAGAUGAAUGAAUAAGACAUCCAUGACUGUUCCUUUCAUUCGCAGUAAUUAAUGGUUUCUCCAUAUAAAGGGAAAGGUUAUCCCAUGGCUGCUAGAAAAGUCUGCAUCAAACAUUUAUGAAGAGGAGGAUUCAUCCGAUGGGAUAAUUUAAUCAGUGUAUUAUUAUUGAUGACAUUUGUAUUGUCAAACUUAGCGAACACAGAUUUAUACUUUUUUUUAUAUAUAUAUAUAAUAUUGUCACGGGAGGAGUCAGCAUGCUACAACACGGAGAGUGUAAUUAGUUCGCCGACAGGGUUUAUUGACAUUUGUCCACAAUACCAAACAAUGCGGUGUCCAACACAUAUGCAAGAGGACAAUAGUGCUCCGCUUGUGGUCGGUCAUCAGGUGGCCUGUGGGGUCAACGACGACCUCGGGCUUCCACGUAGUGUGGGCUGAGCGUCAGGCGCUGGUCUCUGGAGACAAAACAAGAGGGGUUAGAAAACGUCUCUCACUCGUCUCCCCGGUUUGGUGUUGCCGCUUAAAUGGGGUUGGGUUAAGUGGCACCAGCUGCCAGCGCUCAACCCGUGAUUGUGGUGUGGCCAGUUUCCAUGGCGCCUGAUUGCGAGCCUCAGGUGACUCACCACACUCCGGUAUCGGAGGCGUCGGUCUGGACGACGUACGGGCAAGUAAAGUCCGGGGCAUGCAGGACCGGCGAGGAGGUGAGGGCUUGCUUCAGGUUCUGGAACGCCUUUUCCGCCUCGGAACUCCAAGCCAUUGUCUCGGGUCGUCCUUUUCUGGUCAGGUCUGUUAGGGGACUGGCUACAGAGGAGAAGUUAGGGAUGAAGCAACGGUAAUAUCCUGCUAACCCCAGAAAGGCCGUACCUGCGUCUUGGUUUGAGGGCGGGGUGCCUUGCGGAACGCCACUACCUUCUUUGGUUUGGGCUUUAAUUGACCCCUACCUACCCGGUAUCCGAGGUACUUGACUUCUGCCAGGCCGAGGUGGCACUUCUGGGGGUUUACAAUGAGCCCAGCCCGGUGGAGCUCCAUCAACACCUUUCGAAGACAGGCCAGAUGGUCCCCCCAGGUGGUGGUCGUCCAGGUAGGCGGCAGCGUACGCCUGGUGUGGUCGCAACAGGACGUCCAUCAUCCUCUGGAAGGUGGCGGGCGCCCGGUAGUGCCAGUGGCUACUGGGAGUGCUGAAGGCCGUUGUUUCCAGAGACUCCAGCGAGAGGGGGGACCUGCCAGUACCCCUUGGUGAGGUCCAGAGUUGAGAUGAAGCGAGCCCUCCCCAACCGGUCAAGGAGUUCAUCCACUCGGGGCAUGGGUAGCUGUCUAACACAGAGACUUCGUUAAGGCAUCGGAAGUCGUUACAAAACCGGAGUGUGCUGUCCGAUUUUGGUACCAUCACCACCGGGCUGGACCAAGGGCUUUGGGAGGGCUCGAUGACUGAGCUCCUUUAUACUUCCUCCUCUAUGGCCGUCCGGCGAGCCUCUGGCACCCGGUAAGGCCGCUGUCACACAACGACUCUGGAUGGGGUGCGGAUUUCAUGUUGUAUGACGGUAGUCUGCCCGGGCUGUGUACAGAACACAUCUCUGAACUGACUCACCAGGGUUUCGAGCUCCGUCUUCUGUACAGGGGACAGCUGCUCUCCCAUGUCGACCACAGGGGGUUCUUUAUCGGCCCAGGCAGCGAGCUGGUCUUGCGGUCCCGGGAUCCACCUCUUCAGCAGGUUUACAUGGUAGAUUUGGUGGUCCUUCCGGUAUCCCGGCUGCCGAAGCCGGUAGUUGACUGGCCCAACUUGUUCCACCACGGUGUAGGGGCCUUGCAAGGAGGCGAGGAACUUGCAGGCCGAGGAGGGCACCAAGACUAGCACUCUGUCCCCCGGGAGGAAAGUCCGAGCUGAACGGGCCGGUCGUACAUGAGGCGUCGAGCGCGUUGUGCCUCUUCCAGAUGCUCUUUCACUAGAGGCAUGACCCGAUCCAUCCGGGCUCGCAUCUCCACAUGCUCGAUCACCGUGCGUUGCGGGCUUGGGGUCUGCCGUUCCCAGGCGUCCCUGGCGACGUCCAGGAGUCCACGUGGUUGCCUGCCGAAGAGGAGUUCAAAAGGGGUGAAUCCUGUGGAUGCUUGGGGGACCUCACGGACGCCGAACAGCACAUAGGGGAUGAGGAGAUCCCAGUCGCGCCCGUCCUCUGCCACGACUCGCUUCAACAUCCUUUUCAGGGUUUGGUUAAAGCGCUCGACCAGGCCGUCCGUCUGGGGAUAGUAAACUGAAUGGGGUGCACUGGUCGGUCAGGAUUUCGGCCGGGAUGCCGACCCGGCUGAACAACAUGAAGAUCUCCCGGGCGAUGUUCUUAGGGGUGGCUUUUUGAAGUCGGACGCCUUCCGGGUACCGGGUGGCAUAAUCCACUACGACGAGUAUGUACUCAUGGCCUCGGGCCAUCGUAGCGGCCCUACCAGCUCCAUCCUGAUGCGUUCGAAGGGCACCUCGAUGAUGGGCAGUGGAACGAGCGGGCUGGGGGUGGACCGGUACGUUGGCAGGUAGGGUAUACAGCACCGAACCUUUUCACAUCUCCCUCGAGGCCAGGCUAAUGGAAGCGAUCCCGGAUCUUUUGGACCGUGUUCUGGACCCCGAGGUGGCCGGUCAUUGGGUGGGCGUGCGCCAGUUCCAGGACGACGGCAGUUUUCCCUCUCAGUACCACUAAGAGGCAUCUUUCCUCCCCCUGUCGUUCGGCGAUGCAGUUUAGCGGACCCUCUUUCACGACAAAGUAGGGGAGGGGGUGAGGUCCGGGUUGUCGGGUCAUCCUCCCUCUGCUCACGGCCAAAGGAUCCGCCUGUAGAGAUCUGUUGGACAAGAUCAACAAACCCGUUAGCUGUUGCCAGGUUAGACUCACCCGCUCUGUCGCUGUCCGAGGCCAGGAAUACCGCUCUCCGAUCCCUUCGCUUCCGUGGGCUUCGUCGGCGUCCCGAGGUUGAGCUGGGGGUUUGCGGGGUCCCGGUGAGCUGCUGCUCCAUUCCCGGUCAAUUCUGGCGCAGUAGGAGGGGUACCAGCAGAUCUGCGACACCUCCAGGGCCAGGUACCAUGGGGUGUCUCAAGGAUAGCCUUCCUGGCCGGCAAGCUCCGGGUGUCGCCGUGUACGCAGGUGAUCGGGAUGGAGGCCUUGCGGUAGGGUUCUGGGGGUAACACCUUGGGUCACCGCGCUGCCGGAGUCCACUACCGCCUGGACCCUUUUCCCUCCGAGGCUUACCGUCGUCAUCGGGGCUCCCGGUGGGGUUUCGCAGUGAAGGAUGCAGCCAGCCCACCAGGCCCGAGCGGCCGGCUCGGUGGGCAUGGGCUCAUCUGCUGGCGAAGGGAUCGGGGGUCGGCCCCCAGGUCGCGAGGCACCCUCCGGCAACCGCCACGGGGUAUUCCCCCUCUGUGACAGUGGGGGCUCUCUCUCUCGAUCGUCUUUCACCCAGGUGGCUUCUGCGAGCUCCACCGCCUCCCCCAGGGUGGUGGGUCCUUUCAUGCCAUCUGGGCCCCGGAGCCGUCGGGGAAGGGCGUGUAAGAGAUGGUCCAUAAUCACCCGAUCUGCUACCUGCUGCACAGGCGAGAAGCCAGAGGUGGGCAAGACGGGCAGCUUGGCUGUCUGUCCCCGGAUCGGGAGGUUCUCCUCGUACCUCCACAGGUGAAACAACUGAGCUGCUCAAACCGGUGAUAACCCCACCCGGCCCAGGACUUCCGCCUUUACGGUGUCGUAAUCCUCACUCGCAGGGGUUGGAGGGAAUAAUAGGCUCGCUGGGCUUCUCCCGUCAGGUAGGGGGCUAGAAUCUGGGCCCACGCCGACUUCUCCCAAAGUUCACGGGUCGCUAUUACUUCAAAGGUGUGUAGGCAAGCCUCCACAUCAUCCUGGUCCGUGAGCUUUGUGAGAAGCUGGUGGGCGUGUGCUCGGGGGGUGGGUACUGGUGCUGCUCCACCCACCGCGGCUCGAAGGGUGGCCAGUUCUUGCUCGGUUUGGUGUUGUCGUUGGGCCCACUGCUCGGUGAGCUGCUGUUGGUGGACCGAAACCUCCGCGAGCCGAUGUGUGUUCGUACACCACUUUAAUGUUCCGGUGGCAUCCGUAUUCCUGUUUAAUGUUCCAGUGGCGUCCUUAUUCCUAUCCUGCCCAUUGUUCACCAUUUAACAUAUAAACUGAUUUUUACCCAUCAGAACAGCGGGUUCCCGAUAUCAGAGACAGACAAAAAAGAGUAGUUAUUAGACUUUUUUUGUCAUUGGUUUGCCAUUUUCGGAGAAGGGGCAAAAAAACAGACCCUUAGGUUCAAUGAUUGGGGGACGGGCCUGAUCUAAAAACGAGUGGGGCUUUCUAAAUUCUUCUCUACGUCUGUGCUAGUCAUUGAUCGGCGGUAACAAAAAGUCUUUGAGUGUCGGUUGAAGUUUAUAUUUCAUCCGAACACCCUCAGCCAAAUAGCUGUAAUUGAAUUGAUGAUGAUAUCGUCGGGUCUGCGGCCAUUUGUCUUGGAAACUAUGAUGAAGACAGGAGCAGAGCAACGGAUAAGGAACUCUUUGUCUGCUGGAUCAGAUUGUGUUGGAGACUGCCGUACACACCUGGUAAACCCAAAUGUGUGGGGAGGGUGAACUACUGGCUAAGGACACUAUCCACAAAAGCUUUAGGCCCCACCUCGGGCAAAAAGGAUUGUGCCCGGAUGCAGGCUGAGGGCCAUAAUUAAAGCCUUACUAAACCCCCGAUCUACAGCCACAAGCUGGACAUCCUGGACGCUCAUCGAGCACAACCGUGCACCUCAAAGCAACACUAUGUCUUCAAAUGGCAAUAUAAUAGAAUAUGUAAAUUGUGGCUUAAUCACUGGGAACACAGUCAGUGACCAUUGACUAGUUUGUCCAAUUCCAUCUGCUCUCAAAUCAUUCAGGCUGCACAAACUGAACAAGUAGUAUUUUAAGUGACACAAAUAUUAUGACCUCAGAUACCUUUCCAACACGUUAUAGCAAUAAAACUGACUGACAUUGUCUAUUGGCAUGAUAUUAUUUUGUGGAUGAAUUCCUGUUUUUCAGUAGGGCAUGUACCCUCCUAAUUUAAAACCCUUUUUUUCCUGUUGUGUUCACGCUUUACCUCGGCAUCAGGAUUGACAUGUAAUUGGAGCUCGUAUGGAUUUUUAUCCUGUGCUUGCUAAUGAUGAGGAUAAAAAACAUUGGUAUGAAAUGAUUAGGUGUAAAAGCUAUUCAUCAUCUUCGUUGACCUCUAUACACAAUCAAUAAUUUAAAUGUGUGUGUUGAUAAAAGCAAACAGACUUAAUGCGAGGGCUCAACAAAAUCUGACUAGGGUCACAUUAAAAAUGCAAGGAAUGGGAGAUAUCUCGAGUGGCCUGACUGGACGUUGUCCAAAUACAGUUCUCUACCCCUCCAGCAAUUAUAGGGAUUGGUGGAAGGGUGAAGACUGAGAGAAAAUUAACUUGGGAUCAAUCUCUGCACUUAUCAGGAUAUAAGUGAGUCGGAUGAGGUUCAAGGAGACUUUAGGAAUCAGUUUGGCACCUGACGCAGUGCAGCUUUGGCUAAGAGAGAAUGAUCUUAUUGGACUUAUAAUCAUGUUGUGCCUCACCUUAUUUGCACCUGGAAUGUAUAUUUUUGAACUUAUGAGUACUGUAUCAUCAAACUUUCAUUUUCAAGUCCUCACCAAUUUCUCUUUUCUAUAAAUUACCUCAGAGGUAUCUUUUAUCAUCUCCCUCUUUUGUAUUUUGUAGCUGAGACAUCUAUUCAGGUACUACGAUACGAUCUGUAUUCAGAGUCAAGAGUGAUAAAUAUCUUUUAAUUAUUUUGGCACUCUAAGCAGCUCAUAUUCCCAGACCUGGUGUAUUGGCAUUAUGAGAGACAGACGUCUUGCUUUGAUCAGAUCAUCUAAUAUAUAAUUCUAAAAGAUGAAAGCAUUGAUUAGUAUCAAUGCCAUGAUUUUCAGUUCACUGCUAUCAAAUUUCGUUGGCGGUUUUAAUCAUAAUUGGUAUUAUAAACUCGGGGGCAUCCAAAGAAUCUUUACACACCUCUCCACCUAAAUCAAUGUGCUAUAUUGUGAUGUAAAUUACCGUUUGGGCUUUAGGUUCUUAGAUGAGUGAUUGAGGUUUCAGGCAGUCUGAACCAUGUGUAAGGCAUUUCUAAUGGUAGUUCAUUAUUUCACAGAUCAAUGAGCAUUAUCUAUAGCAGUAAAACAAAACAUUUAAAUUGGUAAUGGGGCCAAACUCUACAUUCCACUCCCACUUUUCAGCAAGGACAUGGCUUUUUAGUCCCCACUGUGCUUCCACCUUUGAAAUACAGGAUUUCUCAGUGUGUUGUGUCUUAAAACACCUGCCUUAUAUUCAGUCUGCAUUUAAAUUUUCCUCGGCCUCAUUUCUGGGACACUUGCUGGGCUCUCCGAGGCCGGAUCACCAAGUAGACAAAGCAGGCAACUGCUGCUGGCCCAGAUGCCCAAGGCCACCACUGGAGGUUCAGUGGGUGUCAAUUGGUUUGUGUUAAAGCUUUUUGGGAAUAUACACCAGAUCAGAAUACAUAGCGCAGUCCUCAGAGGGAAAGAGGAAUGUGGGGGGGAAAGAAAUUGUAGACAUUUUGUGAAAGACGCUUUUGUGUGGAGAGUUAGAUCAGAAGAUUUACAGCUCUUCGGUGGUUGCUUGGCAACUUCAAGGUUACCUGGACUCUAGUCACCGCAAUAUUCCUCUAUUCCCAUACCAUAUGCUUUGUUGAGCAAAUCCUCACUUUCCUUUGAUUUUGUUCCGAACAGAAAGUUGUGUGACUGACUUUUAUCUCACAGAUGCAGUGGAUUUCAGCAACUUCACUAUAAAAAGACAAACCCAUAUGAUCAGAUGAUCAAAGAGACAACGGCAUUAAACAGAAUACGAUGAGAAGAAUUCAAUUACCAUAAUAUUUAGUGUGUUGAUCAAUAGUCUAACUUUCUGACCACAUCUGUUUUUUCCUUGCAAAGUUAUUGGGUUCUCACAUUCACCAUUGAAUUUUCAGUGCAAUGUAAGUAUUAGCAAUAUAAAUGGUGUUGAAAACUAUUAAAAUAAAACUGGUUUACUAACCCUUAACAGGGACAUUGUAAUCUGGCCAUACAACUCACAAGCAGUGAGAAGAAAGUCAAAUUGUGGGGAGUUAUCAAAGUUAGAUUUUCACUUAUAAUGUUCCUAAUGUGGUAAAACCGUGUUCAUUUUUAAGAAAUCUGAGUGUUCUAGUGUAGAACUACCAAGUAAGGCAACGAGGUGAUUCAUUGAUUAUGUCACAAACGUGCUCUGCAUUAUGUUAAGAGCCAUGUGGGAUGGAUACAAUCAUUCCAUCGGUAUACUCAACAUAGCUGCAAUGGUAGCAAUACCUGAUAAUGUAAGCCAGUAUAAUUAUACCCUUGUCUCAUUCAGAGGUGCCUUCCUUCCUCUCUUUGCUUCAGGCCAUUUCCAAUCCAACACCAGCAUCCAGAAUAAGAAAAAAGAGAGGGCUCUGCAGUGUGAAUGGUGACUGCUUCCUUUGGUACUUUCCCAAACGUCAUGAAAGGUUAAACUAUUAUGAUCUGCAAAAUUCAGAUAAAUAGAUUCCUUCUGGGCAGGGAGAAAAAGAAAACACUUUUUCUUGGAGAUGUUCACUGGACCUGAAGGAUCAAACAAGCUUAAUAUGGGUUUAAUUCAAUUAAGAUAUGGCCUCAAAGUAUUCAGAGCUAAAAACAGCUAUUUGUUUGUACUACAAAAUGUUUCCUAAUAAACAAUACAGCUCAUUGAACUUAAACGACAUAACUAAGAUGAAGUGAAAAAAUUGAUUUGAGUCUGUGCUGGUAAUUCAGAUUUAUAGACAUACUUGGACAAAUAGUUGACCUUGAAGGAGCAUCCAUUACCAGUGGCAUGUGGCAUUGAUGUCCUGAGAAUGUGAGACAGUUUUAUGGUCUCUUCAUGAACAAGCUGUCUGAGCAUCUUGAAAGAUGCAUCACUCAGGGUGUCAAACAAAAAGUACUCUUCAUGUAUUUACUUAGAGCAUUCCUCCAAUAAGCCUAACCAUACCAGUAAUAACCGGCUGUUCACACACAACACACGCACUAUCCAAUAUCACCCAAGGCUCUAACCAUUUGAUGGUGAAUACUGCAUUGAAAACUCUAAGCCUUUCUGUUUUCGGCCUUCUCCAGAAACACUCCUUGUUAGCCAGAACUCCCAAAGAUGUCAGUGCAGGACGAGCAGACGCAUCAAAGAGCCAGGUUUUGUGGUGGAUGUCUAGCAGAUCCCGACGGCCUCGAAAUUCCUGCGUUCACUCCUACGCUUCCUUAAGAAAUAGCAACAGUAAUUGCAGCUCGGCUAUUGUUUCUCGUAGAGGUAGAAAUAAUUGGAUUUACACACAGUUGCUGGAAAUCUGAGACUUGAGAGAGUUGCAAGUUCAUCUUGGAAAUGCCAAGUGCAGAAUUCUGCUUUUGUUUAAGGGGGAGUUGCCUUUCAAUAACAAACAUAAUGUGUGGAAACACCCUCUUGUCUGCUUUCUCAGUGGAGAAAGUCUGUUUUAGAAAAAUAAAAUAAAAAACAUCUGCUGGUUUGUUUAUUGCUCACAAACAAAUUAGUGAAACAAGAAAACAUGAGGUGAAAGCAUCUCAUCAAUAUGAAAAAGAAAAUGCGGUCUCCAACAUAUGGUAACUCUUCAACUUAAGCAAAUGAUACCAGUCAAAAUUCAUCAACACAACCUCGGAGGACAGUUCAAAUGGGAAUUAACUCUUCGAGCAAAGAUACAAAAUUAAAUUUCCGAUCUCGUGAUCAUAUGCAUGAAUAAGAUUGGUUUGUGAUGAGCAUGGAAAUUUGGUCCCAAGAGCGUUUUAAAAACACACUUUAAAAAACAAUCAAUCGACUUAAACUGAAAAUCUUCUGUGAAAAAAAAAAAAAGAACACAGACACUCACACCUCCUCUACUCAAACAGUUGUUCAAAAUAUAUGGGUUUGUAUCUUAUGAAGAUUCUAAAAUAAGUAAUAAGAAGCGUACCCAGUUGGUACUGCCUAUAAACUCCUGAUUCUGAUCUGAAAGUAAGAAUUACAGUGUGUUGAUGGCACAACAGGUUGUUGUUGCAUUAACAAAAAAGUGUGAGUUGAAAAUGAUCAGGUGUGACAUGCUCGGCCAAACUGCACAACAAGACUUUGUGAUGCCUCUGCAGCCGGAAAGGCAUGGAGAUAAACUCAUUCUUAAUGAUUUCAGGAGUCGUGGCCUGCCAUGUACUUUUGAAAACGUAUUGCCCUGCUGAGUUGCCUGCAAUUUAAUCUGGAGCCCCAGUCAAGCGGGACAGAUGAAUCUUGUCAUCUUCAGAGAUGCAAGAGAGUUGACUGAUCUGACUGAAGUUAAUGUAUUAGAUAGUCUGUAAAUAGAGAAAAAACUCUACUCUAAAAAGGAAGUAAAUUAAGUUUGGAGGAUAUGUCGCUAGAGCGUUUUCUGCUCAAGUGACUUCAUGAAAAUCAGAUAUUCAAGAAAGCAUGAGCCGUCUGGGAAGUUUAUGAUGUAGGUACGUUUUUUUGUAUUUUACGAGUUGCCUUGUCUCAUCAAUUGAUGUGAUUUUGGAUGGUUUUGUCCUCAAACGCAUUUACUGGAAUGAAUUUGAUAUAUUCACAAUAUAUACUUUAACAGAAUAAUCAACAUAUUUAAAUACAGACAUCAUCAACAGGUGAAUUCACAAAAUAUCUGCAUUAAACCUACCUAACGAGCUAACUAGUGCUAACCCCACACAUGCAGAUAUACUUUACACUGCUCGACAAAACUCUGAAUUUACUUAUUUAAAACAAGACAUGCACAUUCUCUCGUCAGCUUGGGCUAAUCAGGAAAUCAUUCCAAACAUUUCACCACGGUAAAAUUGGCAAGAUUGGUGCUGGGGUGUUUCCUCAGUAAACGCAUGAGAGAAUGAGGAAAACAAAAAUAAGAGUGCAGGGACCUGCAAAUUUGUGAUGAUAGUUGGAAUGUUUUCUCUUAAUCGUUUACCAUUAUAUUACGAAAAUGUAACAUGCACAGAAUAGCACAGUACAGCGUUGCCAUUUAUUUUAGAAAGGGAUGAAUUUUCCAAUUCAUUGAAUCGUACUGCACAUUUACCAGAAGAGGCAAAGGAGUUUGAUGGAUUCUUCCAUUCAACCUGUUGGCCACACCUCCACAUUACACCCACUCCUCAUAGAAUUGUCCUCCCCACUCCUUCAGCCUACAGUAUUUCACACUUUAGCAUGGCUUUCAUAGUUACUGUAAAGAACACUCACACUUUCAAUCACUCUUUGUAUCGGUGGCAAACAAUUUCCAUCUCCCCCGCUUUGUUCUCCCUAAUAGGCAAUAGAGCUGCCCCGAAGCCUCGAGCUUCUCCGUCUUCAUUCCGCUGUGAAGACUCCAUCCAUUAGCCUUGCACCUCACUGCUCCCAGCACCUGACCCAGAAACCAGGCAAAAAGGCUCUGCGGCAUCCACCGCCAUUCGCUCAUUCAGUGCACAGGGUCGUGGUGUGCUGGCAUCAGUUAUUGGCUUUUAGGCAAUGUGCCUGCUCCGCUUUGUGUUAUUGAUGAGAUUUAAAUUAUACUCAGGGACCAUGUUUUAUGCUUUAUUGCGUCAGAAGUCAGUUGGCUGUGAGCAACGCCAAAGCACUUUACAAGGACCACCCACCACAUUAUUCAACAAAAGGUUUAAGUUAGCUAAGCGUUGAUUUCCCAUCCACUUUUCAGCCAGUGGGUCAGGUUCCAGGACUUCAAUAAUACAUACUCACUGAAUACUGUCGCCUAUAGAGUCCAACAGAUCUAGAAAGCUUGCAUUAUCCAAUCUUUGAAGAAGGUGCAGGUUACAUUCCGCUAAUGAAGAUAAAGCUCCCUUUUUCAGUAAGUGUGCUACUUGUCAUCCGAAUAUAUGGCAAUAUGUAAUAUUGAUGAAUAAAAAAAAACCUCUGAUUGAUAUGUUGCUCUGGUGAAGAUGAUUGUAAUAUUAUCUAAGAGGAUAUCUCAUGAAAUGGUCUUAUUAUUCAUGCACAACUGAAAUGGCUCUAUUCAUCUGGUGUCCGUGCUGCAGCUGCGAGGUUGCAGACUCAGUACUCAGAGGGGAGGAAAAUAUGAGCCACUUUAACUACUGGUAACCACCAACAAAAAGGGGACCCAAAAAAAACACAAUUUUGUGUUUUAACAAGGUUUUCUUUGCUUGUUCAAAAACGAAAUACAAAUACAGUUUUGAGACUCACCGUGUAAUUAUAUUGAAUUGAGACACAGAUUAUUGUUUUGGUAAAGGAGAAUGCUGAUCGGAUCGCUCAAAGUUGAGGUAAUCUGUUUUAUCUCUUCGUUGAAGGGUUUGAAUUCAAGGAGCUCCAAAGAACUGAGGAAGAUGAUAACAUGUAUGAUGGUCACUAAAAGAAAAUGCAGAUCAAAUUCUGCUCAUUAAUAUCAGUCUACGCUCUGCAUUCCUUUACCAGGUGCUCAAACUUUAGGAUGGAAUGGCGCACAAGGUAGAGGAGGUACUGCAGCCAAAGGGGAUUGACUUGUUUCCGAAAACUCAAUACAGUAAAGUAUUUAAGUUCUAUGCUCAAGAUGGAGACUUCACAUUGUCCACCACCCGGCAGGUUUGACACUUUAUUCUCCAGAGGUUAACAACACUGAAGGAGAGCCGUAUUGGAUAUCAGCUUAACAGGAUUGCAAUCUGGAUUGGUAUUUAAAAGAUAAUGGUGAGGCAAAAGCCAAUUAGCUUUGUGCUCUGUGGCUGUCCGGUGCUCACAGAUGUUGUCAAUGCAAUUACAGGGUCAAUUCUGCUGCAAGGUACAAGCCUGAUAUCAGGCAACUUAGUUUUGCUGCAAAGCUAAUUAUUGAGGUUAUUUUUGGCGACGGGUGGAAGAUGUGUAAAGUUUAAGAAAGUUUUUGUUUUUGUUUAUUAUAUAUUUUUUUAGGAAAGAUCAGCAUCUGGGGGGGGGAUUUCAAUUUGUAUUAACUCUUCUGCCUCUUUUUGAGACAACAGUGUCAGUUAAAACUCUCUAUUACUAACGAGCAGCAGCGAGUGAAAUGCAGAUUCCCAAAAGUUGAAACCUGAUACAAACGGCCGGAAAACUGAGCUAUGAUUAUACUUUGACACCAGCCCCGGGUGGACUGUGUUUCGGCUGCUACAUGACUGCCCAAGCUGAUUACGACCGCUAAAGACAGCGCUUGUGGCGCUAACGUAACACUCGGCGCAUUGUUUUAAGAAGAGUCCGUGGAAACGCUCUGCUGCACAAUGAAAUUGCUGCAUAGUCUUCUUUUUACGAAAGGUGCGGCACAUUGCAGUAUCUUGUUUGCCGGUUGUUGACGUGCACCCAAAACUGUCUCCUUUCCAUGGAGCUGUAUUCUGUCAAAUAACAGGCACUGUAUUUGUAAAAUAGACAUAUAGACAUAAACUUUAACUAUGAGGAAGAAUGUGUUUUCAACCACUAAAGCAGAGACUAAGAUCUCUGAUCCAUGUAGUUAAUGCCUGGAGUUAUAGCACUGUUGUCCUGUAACCUUGUCUGUAAAAUGAUAAAUAACAUAAUCAAUCAUUUAAAAAUCCUAAAUAUCAAUGUAUAAUUCAGUGAAAUUAACAGAUUUUUUAUUUAGACAUUUCAAUCAUAGUUAAAUGAUGUAUUGAAGAUUACACCGUCCAGAACAUUUGAGUAGAAUUUAUUAUUUUCCUAUUGUCACUACUAGUCCUGCUAUACUGGUAUUUGGUCUUUGUUCAUGCCUUCAUUGAGUUUCCGGCCCCCCUUUGUGUCUGGUACCCAUAAAUCUCUCUUCAUACCCCUUAUGGGCAGGCCUUAAUUAUGUUACAGUAAAUAAAUUGAAUUAAUCAUAGUACAGUAGUUUAAUUCCGACAAGCUUUAAUAAGCUUUACAAACUGUAAUGAUUAAUCAUUAUUAUAUCAAAUAACUUCAAAUUCAAAUGGUGUAUUCAAUAAAUAAAAACGUUUAUAGCUCACAGCUGUCUUCAUCCAUUACAUCUUCUAAUAGCAGCCCACCUGGUGAAGGUAAUUUGGCGAACCACUUUCCUUUUCAGCAUUAAAAGACCUGCUCCUGAUGGACUGACAGCUAUUUCCAAUGAUAGAGACAGCCUGACAAUAGACAUCUCACUUUUAAUCUGGAUUCUCACUUAGUCUCUGAGUCUAUAGUUCUUUGAAUGGAAUGGGCUACUUGCUGAUUGCUUUGGGAAUUUAAAUAUCUCUAUUCCAAGCAUCAAAGUCUGACCUGGGAAAAACACGUGGUUGGUGGUUCAGAAUGAUAAUCGUAACUGUUAUUCAUUAAAAACCUUCACUAGGGUACCUUCAAAGAAGAGACAGAUUGAAGAAGCAUCUAAUGCAUCUGCUGAGACACGACAGGAUCCAGACGUAUCAAACAAAGACUACAAGGUUGUUUAAGGCUGACAGAGGCAUUCAAGCCAAGGCCUGUGCAACCAACUUCCCCAAAUGGCAAAGAUAACAUUGUGAACUUGCGUUGACAUUCUGCUGGACAGUCCAUCAUUGAACACUCGACAGCUUAAUUAAAUGAAUCAGAAUAAGAUCUCUGGAAAAUUAACUACUCCUAAGAGUGAACUGUAAACUGGUGUGAUUAUAAUAAUAAUAAUAAUAAUAAUAGGAACUGAGGUCAUUGCCAGGUCAUUACAAAGUGCACCCCACAUCUUUAACAUAUUUAUUCGACACUCCUGCAUUGUGCACGAAAUAAAAUGAAAAUACAAUCCAAUCAGUCCCUUAAGAUAAGGAAGUUUCUUAAAUACAUUUCAAGUGAAUAAUUUCUACAUCUCUAUUGUGCCCGUUCUGUUUUUAUUGCUUUCACCUUUUUCCACAAAUGCAUAUAAAUACACUCAUGCAAAAAGGUAGACAAGAGUUGGGUAUUAUGGUUCUCUCAUGUUUUUCAAAUACUUUCAAUUAAAAAAAAUGAUACAGAAGUAAUUGUUUUUCGGGGAGGAGGACGAAAGUCAGCACUCAGCUUUAGUCACUGCUGUUAUAAAUCACAAACCAAGCCAGUGAUGCAGGUGUAGUCAUGAAAGUAAUCAGCACUAAAAAAAAUCAGCCUACCAUCACCUAAAUAAUAUAUCAGCGAAUCUGGAAAAAACAUGCAUUCAUCUUCAGUGGACUGCACCAUUUUAACGCUGUGAGCAUAGGUCUCUUUAAAAGAUCAAUCAGAUGACUACAGCUGAUUCAGAACGCUGCAGCUCGAGUCCUCAAUAACACCAAAAAGUAAAUCACGUCACUCAAUGUCUUUGUCAAGUAGGCUUGAGAUCCAAAAAACACUGCCUUAAAGUUAAAAGGAAUAAAAUAUGGACGUAAGAAAAUCAGGCCAAAGAACACGGAGCAUGUGUGAAUAAAUGUAACGUCAUCAAAUCAAAUAGUUGCUCGAUGAAUUCAUGCAUUGAUAUGCAGAUUUUUAACAUUUACAAUUCUAAUGUGUUUAUUAUGAUUAAGUAGUUGUCAGAAAUUACUGGAAAGAUGGUGAUGAGAUUCAGUGUGUGCCCAUGAGAAAGUCAAUAGGAAAGUCUACUCUAAAGUCCUGAAUUGAUUCAGCCCAAAAUGUAUUUAUGAUCUGCUGCCCCCUUACGAACCAUCUCGCCCCCCCAGGUGGUCUGGGACGGGUGUCCUUUCUGUUCCCAGAGUCAGAAGCAGCGUUCAGUUAUUCUGCUCCACGUAUCUGGAACAAACUCCCAGACCCAUUAUAAAAUAUUAUAAUAACAGGCAAGUUAACAUUUCUGGAUCUGUAGUUUUUCAUAUACUUUUAUUUGCCUUGUUUUUGAAAAGAUAAACUUGCCUUGCUUUACUUCUUCUUUUGCAAAAAUACAGAACCUGCUGGCCAUUAACAGUAGCAGAACUGUCCAUAAUGAUUUCACUUGUUCAGUCUAUUACUUUGUACAAAGCUGCAUACAGCAGAGUGCAAUGGCCACUGGGGGUUUCAAGUCAGCUCUGACAAACGGCCAAAGCCGGCAGUGGAUCAGCAGACUCGGGGGCAGCCUGACUUAUCACUCUAACAACAGACACUAUUUCAGCCUCUGGGUUUGUCUGCAGGCUCCUGUUCUCUCUGUCUUCCCUCUCGCUAAUGCCGUAUUCCUCCCCGGCAAGCGAGUUUCCCUGUCUUCUUAUCUCCUGCAAUUCUAAACCAAGUCAGCCUCAAACAUUCAAAAAUUAACAUUAGUGCCAAAAUACGUUGACGUUUAAUAAAUGCACCCAGGGAAAGAUGGCUAAACAUGUUUCUGUUUAACCUGUUAUACCCUCAUUUAUUCAGAUACACAUUUAAAUGUCUAGGUACUCAAGUACAACCAGAGUUAAACAUUUUUUUGCGACACAAACUGAUCCUGAAUGAAGUCUGUUGAAUCUUGUUUCAUACUUCAUUAAAAGACUUCUAGCUUGGGUAAAAGUCACACCAUUUUUGAGUGAAUACAACAUUACUUGUAAUAGUAGUCAUGGCUGAAGGCCUUUUCCUUUUAUUAUAUGGUCUGGGAAAUCAAUUAUUGUGUAUAAACAAAGUCUGUUCAGACUCAUCAUGGGAACCAACUUCACAUUUGACGACUCAAGAGCAACUCCCAGCAAGAGCUGUUGCAUUUAUGAUUAAUACUUGAUUUCUUUCCAAAAGAAAGAUGAACAUUUUCAAAAAUAACCCUCCAUUUUAUGGCUGUGCAGUAAAUAUAUGGUUACUGCCUGAAACUGGUUAGCUUUGUAUGGUAACUUUCCCACAAAGGAGUACUCUGGAUUGCCCAGUAGACCUUCAAAUGCCAUUAGAUUUAAUGUGUUACUUUCUAUGAGAGCGACUCUGUUGAGCUUAUUGGUCUACCAUAACACGGAUUAUCAGUGCUGUAGCUCAAAAUAGCUCCGUGCACGGGCCAACAGGACAUUAUGUAUCUGUUGUAGAAUAUUGAAUAUUAUUUGAAAGAGUAUUCUGAAUCUUUAAAAUAGUUUGGUCUGCAUGUCAGUACGUCUCCCACUCUACAAUCACACAAUCUAAAAGUUUCAGCAUUUAUUUUAUGUGGUCGUGGAUCAUAAUGACAACGUUUGAAUUUUAAAAUUCCCGCUGAAAGAGCCUGAUUGAAAAUGAAUUAGGGACAAACUAAACCUUGCUAAAACUAGCCAUUCAACGUUGUCGAACAACGUGCCAUUAUUAAGUUAAUUUGGUGCCUGUAGCUGUUAGAUGCAAAUGUAACAAGCUGUCAGUGUCACCCGUUUUGCAAAAAUCUUUAUUGUCUGCUCUGCGACACAUGUCUGCACCACUAUAGCUCUGUUUUUCUCAGGCUGUUUCUCCAUCCUUCUUUUGCUCUUUUCUCCGUGUCCCUCUCUGUCAUUCUCACAGUAGUGAGUCCAGGCUUUCUUAUGCACACAAAGCAGAAACAUUUCAGUCCUCUUUUUGAGAUGAUUAUUCAGAGAAUGGCAGACAUGUUUUCAUUGUUGUUGUGGUGAAAAUAAGCAAUAGCAGGUUGUGUGAAGCAUGUGUCUGUGAGAGAAUGACACAAAUCGGUCAGUCAGGGAAAAUGUUGGGGAAACCGUCUUAUAUAUUACAUUGGUAAAAUAUUACUGUAGUAAAUAUGUUCCAUAAUGAUAGAGAUAAGUGAUGUGGUAUAUAACGAACCAUAAAAUGUAUCUAUACUAGACAUGUUUUAUCUAUUAAUGUAAAUGUUUUUUCAACUUUGUUAAAACAAACUGAAGUAUUAAAAUUGUCAUAAUUAAAAAAAAAACAUUGUCGAGGAGGAAUCUGGAAUCUAGAUUGCAGAUUCAAGCGGCUAAAAAGGAGUUUGCUUCAUAUUGUAACGGCUCAGCCUAACAGAUGGAGGGAGGAUCUUUCAGUUGAGCUGCUGCUACUUUGUUCCGAAAGCUGCCUUUAUAAGUGGUUUGGGCAUCUGAUCAAGAACCCUCUAGACGAUUUCUAGGCACGUCUAGUAAUAUAGCCCAGCGUAGAGACAUAACACGCUGCAGCCUGUUAACACCUUUGGAUUACCCACAAAGACUUGGAAAACUCCACUUUUUGACCCUCUAAUUAGUGCUUCUUUCUCAGGUACAAAACCCUAGGGCUUUGACCUAAAUCCUGCAUCCGACCUCAAAAAAAAUCCACGGAUUUGAAAUGCAAUUGAUGCAUUUAUUAGGUGCAAGAGAAAAGAAUGUAUUGAAUGUAAUGAAUUUAUUGAGUUCAUUUAACUGUUAUAAUGGUAGGGAAAACACUGAUAAAUUACGGCAGGCAUAUAUAUAUAUAUAUAUA
ensembl:lncRNA